UAUUUUUUAUGUUUAUAUAAUCAAGAAGAUCAAAUUAUUGAAAUUUAUAUACACACAAUUUAAGUGCAAGAGCACCACGUGUUAUUGAACAAUGCUUGAAAGAGGUGAGAUUCUUACACGUGUCUCAUAUGCUCAACGAGACUAAAUUGGAGUCUGCACUUGUCAGUGCUUUGCUGGAGAGAUGGAGAUCCGAAACACAUACAUUCCAUCUAUCAUGCAGUGAGUGUACGAUUACAUUUAAGGAUGUAUCAUUACAACUCGGUCUGCCAAUUGAUGAGGCUGUCAUUACAGGAGUGGUGCACAUUGGGGAUUGGAGGCCAAUUUGCCACCAGCUAUUAGGCAAGGUGUCAAACAAGUUUAGUGGUAAUCAAAUAUAUAUGAAAUGGUUAGAAGAUAAUUUCUCACAUCACAAAACUCUUCUAGUGCAGUUGAAAGACAACAAUUAACUCGGGCAUUAAUUUAUACCUUCUAAUGCCAUAUAAAUCUCAAAAUUUGAUACAUUUAAGGGGACUCUUAUAACUAAUCGACCUAAAAGAAACUGGGCAACUCAGUUGGAGAUCAAUUGUCUUGGUUACAUUGUAUCGAAAGUUGUGUUGGACAAUAGAAGCACAAAAAUUAAAAUCGUUGGUUGUAUAUUCCUUCAAUCAUGGGUAUAGUAUCGUUUACCAUUUUUACAUCCCGAGGAAACUCCCAUUAUCAAUUAUUACUCGUAAUAAGGUAACAUUCAUUUAAUAAUAUAGUUAUCAUAUUAUCUUUUUUCAUUAUUAUAUUUUUGGAAUAACAUAUUAUUUGAACAGAUAGAAAAAUAACGCGAGUCCUGUGGGUAUACCAAAUAAACUUGAAGAUAUUUGGUUAUUGUUAAAUCAAUGGUUAAUAGUCGAGGUCAGUUUUUGAAUUUUUUUUAAUUACAUAAUAAUUAUUUAAGGAUUUGAAAUUUAAUAUUAGGUGUGUAUGAAAUUUAUAAUUUCAUAUUAUAAUUUAAAUGGAUGUCAUACUCUGAUCCGAGAAUUGAAGAAUGCAUCCCGUCUAAAUUUUUGACGAAUCAUAAUAUCUUACAUGUCAAAGUGUCAUUAAUAGUUUUUGCAUUGUCUAUUUUUAAUAAAUAUAUUUGAGGUAAAGUUUUUUUUUUAUAUAUUCUAUUUGAACUUUUUUAUAUUUAAAAAAAAUAUACAUACUUUUCAUAUAUAUUUUUUAAGAACUAGGACCAAAUUAAUAGAAUAUAUAAACAUUGAUGGUUUAAUUUGUUACUAUAUCAAUUAAAAUUAUGUACAAUUGAUGGAAAAUAUUAUUUUUGAUGAUUAAUUGUCCUUAGUUGCUCACUUUUAAAAUGAACAAUGAUUAAAUAGCUUUGUUGUUUUCAGUAGGACCAAUUUGCUUAAUAUCAAAAUUGAGAGAAACUAAAAAAAAUUUACCUAAAUCUGCUCGUCUAUAUGGGAAGGCUUUCCUUCUUUUAGCUACAAUUGUAUUUAUUAAUUCAUAGAUUUGUCCGGAUAACAAAAAAGUGAUAAUCAAUUAUAAUGAGACAAUGGCUAUUAUUUGCAGAGACCACUGGAUCAAUCACAAAUGCCGACACCUAAAAUCAUAUAGUUAUUUUGGAUAAAUCUAACGUGAUGUAAAGUAUAUAUAUUUAUAAAAAAUUAUAAAUUAUAAUAUCGUAUAAUAAAAUAAUAUAUGAAUUUUAAUUGUAUUGGGUAACAUGUAUUUGUUUUCAACAUACCAUAAUUCUGGGAAGGAAAAUGUGGAUACAGGUAUAAGUUGGACAAGAAGUUAUAAGUGGUUGAACACGGUAUGAUUGCAUGAUGUGAGGGUGACAACUAACUAGUGGACAUGUCCAAGUAGAGGAUGGAUUAAACUUAAUACAGAUAGAGUUGUAUCCAGAAAUAACUCAUUUGCGGGCAUUGGGGGAGUGUUUAGAGGUGCCAACAGCAAGUGGUUAGGUGGUUUGUCGAUGAAGUUAGGAAAGGAUUCAAUUUUCAAGAUUGAGGCGAGAGCCUUACUUAAAGGCCUACUUAUAUCAUGGAGGAAAGGUUAUCGACAAUUGGAAGUGGCCAGACACGCAAAUAGACCCUUCCACAAAAACACGCGGAUCCUGAGGUUGGAGUGGGUCAGGUCGCGGGUUGGCCCCCCAAAACGACGCCGUUUUGGGCGUCUAGGGGCCUAAUGAAACGACGCCGUUUUGAUAACUCCAUUUAAGCCCAAAUUUUUUUUAAAACUUCAUUCCAGUCUUUGUUUUUUAAUAAACUCAAAAAAAAAACCUCUCAACUCUCUCUCAACUCCCCAAAAUUCGGUCAGCUUAGGUUGCCGGACCACCGUGGCGGCCGCCGGUCACCGGCGACGGCGCCGCCGCCCACAAUGGCCAAAAAACCAAAAAAGCCUAUUUUUUGGGGUUUUUUUGACUCCCCGACUUCGAAUAACGCCGAUUUUCAUCGGAAUUGGCACCUCUCUCACCAAAGGUACGUUUUCAAUCCUUUUCUUUUUAUUUAUUUUUUGUUUUUUCCUUCUAAAAAAUAAUAAGAACGAAAGAAAAAGAAGAAAAAAUAAGGAAAAAAAUCCCACUACCUUCGAAAAUCUAUUGAUUUUUUCUAUUCUCUUUCAUUCAUUCGUUCUUAUUAUUUUUUUUAGAAGGAAAAAACAAAAAAUAAAUAAAAAGAAAAUGAUAGAAAACGUACCUUUGGUGAGAGAGGUGCCGAUUCCGAUGAAAAUCGGCGUUAUUCAAAGUCGGGAAGUCGAAAAACCCAAAAAAUGGGUUUUUUCAAUUUUUCGGCCACCGUGGGCUGCAGCGACGGCGCUGGGGACCGGCGGCCGCCACGGUAGUCCGGCGACCUAAGCUGACCGAAUUAUGGGGAGUUGAGAGGAUUUUUUUUGAGUUUUUUUAAAAAACAAAGGCUGAAAUGAAGUUUUUUUUAAAAAUUGGGCUUAAAUGGAGUUAUCAAAACGACAUCAUUUCAUUAGGCCCCCAAACGCCCAAAACGGCGUCGUUUUGGGGGGCCAACCCAUCACCAAACCCGCUCCAACCUCAGGAUCCGCGUGUUUUUGUGGAAGGGUCUAUUUGCGCGUCUGGCCCUUCCGCCUUUUUUUAUUUACAAUUAAGUUUUUUUAUUUUUAUAAUUUUUCCCUAUAAUUUAUCUCGGCUUCCAUUUUAGUCCCUAAUUGAACUUGUUGGGCGGGGAUUAUUGCUCAUUUGGUCCAUCCUUGUUAUUCGCGCAUUCAACUUGGUCCUUUUCCUCUUUAUUUAUUUCUAAUUUUCCCCAAAUUUAUGUUUUAAGUUCGAUUUGGCCCUUUUUUGUUAUUUUGCUAUUUUACUAUUAAAUUAAUUAAUUUAAUAUUAUUAUCACUAUUAUUAUUUUUCUUUUUCUUUUUUACCUAAAUAUUUCAAAUACAUUUAUUUUAUUUUUAUCCCAUAUUUAUUUAUAUUCUAUUUUAUAAUUUUAAAACUUUAGAUCAUUAUUAUUAUUACUAUUAAUCAUCAUUAAUUUUAAUAUUUUUUUAAAAAAAAUUGUUUAUACAAUAUUUAUUUAUUUAUUUAAUAUUAGGUCUUUAACUUCAAAUUUAGUUUAUUAUUUCAUCAUUUGUCUUUUUAUUUUUAUUUAUUAUUAUCAUUUUGGCUUGUUUAUCGUAUUUUAUUUUCAUUCUUUAUAUUGGCGUUCACAUUCUACUAUGCAUAUCAACACUGUAAUUCAUUUCAUAUUUCACUACCAAUUCGUGAUAUUUCAAUCCUUCUCCGAUAUACAAACUUCAUUUUUAAUAAUACGCAAUAUUUCGUAUUUUGGAAUUCGAAAAGGUUGUUCCCUAACUUACGGGAUUUUGGUUUUUUCCGAUGAAUCCGAAUAUACGAAUCAUUUUUCAAAAACACAUUUUUUAAAUUAUCUCAGGAAUUAAUAAGACUGUGUUCUAACUUAUGGAAUAUGGUCUUUUCUAAAACCUAAAUAAUAAAAUAUCUUUCAAAUAAGUAAAUUUUUUCGACAUUUAUUCUCGUAUCGGGAAUUUAAGACAUUGUGUCCUAACUUACUGGACGUAAUUCUCUUUCUCGAUUAAAAGUGAAAUGUGCCCCCUUUUUUUGAAAUUUUUUAAUAUUUUAACAAAAGAUCGUAUUUUAAAUUCUUUUUGAGUUUUCAACUUUCGACAUUAAGACACUAAUUAAUCAACUAGGUACUAAUUUUUGGGCGUUACAAGGGUGCUAAUCAUUCAUCGUACGUAACCAACUCCCGAACCCAUCUUUCUGAAUUCCGUGGACCAAAAUUGUUGUUUUAAUAAAUCAAAUUUGUAAGAGCCCAUUUUUGCCCGGGCCCAAAAUAGAGACCCAAAAUCCAAAAUAAAACAGUCCAUUACAGUAGUGGCCCAAACCCAAAAUAAAAAUAAAACCCAAAAUAUAUAUAUAAUAGUCCAAAAUUAUAGUCUAAUGGGCCCGAACAGCCCAAACCAAAAAUCUAGGCCCGAUUGACCCACCCCUCAAACAUUUCAAAAAAAAACCCUAGCAGCCCCUACUGCCCAUGUGCGCUGCUCAGCCUCCUCGCACGCCCCCUGGCCAUCGUUGUUGCUUGCCUAUCGCCUCAUCCGCAUGCUCUGACACCUCUCUGCCAUCACCUGCAAAAGCAGACAACAAGCAAACAAACAAAUCACAAGCAAACAAAAUAGAGGAAAAUAGUUUUGUAUUUCGGCUAUAAAGCCAAAAUCAGAUGCCUGUAUUUUUUUUCCUUUUUUUACACACAUCAGUUAAUCAAAAACAGAACAAAGAUUUGAAAAGGUUGCAAAAUCUUAUCGUUUUUUAUUUCGUUUCUCUGUUUCCUUUUUUUAUUUUAUUUAUCCAUUCGUUCAUUUCUUUUACAAAUCAGUUUCAACAAAUAAUAGGGAAUAGAAAAAGGAAAAAGGAAGGAAAACUUGCCUGAAAAGCCCAUCGGUCGCGUCGUCGGAGGUCUCACCGUCGCCGAAAUCAGCCUUAAAAGGUGGGUUUGGGGGGUCUUUUCUCUCGGCCUUCGGGCUAAAGAAGUUUGGCCUUCGAAGGGAUUUGAAACAGAGGCAUGAAAAUCGCCCUUUGCGCAACGCCGGCCACGGCGGCGCUGCGGCGGUGGCCAUGGCCGAAACUCUAUGGCCGGAUGUGGGGGGAGAGUAUUUGAGAGAGUGCUGCAUUUUUUUUCCUUUGGAAAUGAAAGAGAAAGAAUUUUUUUUAAAAAAAAUGGAUUAUAUAAGUGCACGAAAUGACGUCGUUUUGCGCCAACGCACAUCGUCGUUGAAAAGACGCCGUUUGGCCUAGGGACCCGAAGACCCGACCCGCAUUCAUGGGAUCCACGUGUUUUCUGAUGUGAGGGGAUAUUUGUGCAAUAGGCCCCUCCUGCUUUGCGGCGUGUUCAAUGCGAUCCUUUUUAUUUUUAUUUUUGAUUUUGGCCACAAAGUUUGCUUCCGAUUCAAUCUGGUCCUUCAACCAUGUGCAGAUGCUACCCCCUAGAGCGACACCGUUUAAAGGACGAGGAAUAUUUCCGUUUUGGUCCUCAGCCUUCGCGCACCUUUGAUUUUGGUCCUAUUCGUUUAUUUUAUUACAGUUUUUACUUUAAAUUCUAUUUUUGUCCCAAUUUAAUCCCUAAUAUGUUUUAUUUUAACCUUAAUCGUUUUUCUUCAUAUUAUCAUUUUUAACAAUUUUCAUUUUUUAUAUAUCUUUUUUAUUUAUUCAUUUUUUAAUUUUAUAAACAUUAUUUAUAAUAAACCGUACUAUAUCAUUUUAGAUAUUAUGUGUUUUAAAUUAUUCCAUAUAUUAUUUAUGUUGAAUUGCUAUAUAUGUUAUGUUAUCUUAAACGUUUCAUAGAUGUGUAUUAUUUCGUUUACUCAUAUUUCCAUGCUAUGGUAAUCCAUUCGUAUAUCAUGUUGUUCGAAAAUCAUUUCACCAUAUUAUAAAUUGUCACCCCCAUCAACGCAACCCUUUUGUUCACGCAUUAUUUCAAACAUUACAUUUUUACCCAAACAUGCAAAAAUGAAAAUUUCAAAUAAGGCAAUAUUUUGUGUAUUGGCGAUUCUAGAAAAUUGUACCCUAACUUACGGGGUUUCGAUUUUCCUCGAUAAAUCUAAAUACAUGAAUCUUUUCAAACAAAAGUUUUUAAAUGUUCUCGAUAAUUAAAGAUCGUGUUUUAACUUACGGAAUAUGAUCUUUUCUAAAAUCGAGAUAAUUGAAUGUCUUUCAAAUAAGUAAAUUUUUCGGCAUGUAUUCUUGUAUCAGGAAUUCGAUACGUUGUGUCCUAACGCAUUGGAUAUGACAUGUUGUUUUCUCGAUAUGAGGAUUUUUCUAAAAAUAAUAAAGGCAAUAUUUUGCAUUUGGAAAUUCGAGAAAGCGUGCCCUAACGUGCUGGGUUUCGAUUUCUCGUUUGACCAAAUAGCCAAAUAUCCUCUUAAAACUUCAAAGUAUGGGUUUUUGAAACCAUAUGGUGAUCUUGGUUUCGAUGGUUUAAAGUAUUAUGUCCUAACGUGCUGGAUGUGAUAUUCCUUCAGAACAAGAGAAUCUUAAAUUUCAAUCCAUGUUAUUCGAGUUUUUUUUAAGGAUCGUAUUUUUAAAACUCUUCAAAGUUUUCAACCUUUGGCACUAAGACACUAAUUAAUCAACUAGGUACCAAUUUUGGGGGCAUCAAUGGUGCUAAUCCUUUCUCGUGUGUAACCGACUCCCGAACCCGUUUUCUGAUUUUCGUGGACCAAAAUCGAUGUUUUGAUAAAACCAAAUUGUUUAUUAAAAUAACCAUUUUUUGAGGUGGUCCGAUCACACUACAUCAAAAAAUAUUGGUGGCGACUUUCAUUUUCGUCGACCUCGUUUUAUCAAAAAAUGGUGUCAACAGCUUGGCGACUCCACUGGGAAACUUAAAAAGAGAGUCAAGCCACGUGUUGAUUACUUUUUGUCUUUUUAUCAAAAAUUAAAAACUUGGUUUAAGUGUACGAUCCUUUCAUUGCAUUACAUUCGUCUUUAUUUCGGUAUUUAUCAUUGUGGUUUAUAACUACUGUGUUAAUUCAAGUUUGGAUAUAUUUCUGCGCAUUACAUUGCAUGAUCGGUAGAUCUUACCCUUCUAAGUGGGAGUGAGAAACUACGCCUUCGUGAGGUUUUCACCUCCGCAUGGGAUAGUGAAUCGCUUUCGGGAUACAUCCGUACCUAUGUCUUCGUGAGGUUUUCAUCUCCGCAUGGCCAUAGGGAAAUGUAUUCUCCUGAACUAAACUCUAUCCAUAUGAGCCUAUAAUGGGUGAGGAUCGAGGAAUCUGCCUGUUCGGGUACCUUUACUUUAGAACCAAACCGUAUAUAGUGAGCCCUAAGAACCUAUCCUAGGUAGAACCAUGCCAAAACCUUAGUGGUCACCCGAUUAGGUGCUCUAUUUGUUUCUUUCUUACUUACUUUUGCUUUGUAAUAACCCGUUUUGUUUUGUUUCGGUUAUGAUUACAUUGCAUUUUUCAUUAAAUAGAAAAGAGGUGUUGAUUCACGUUCAAGUAUCUAAAUAGAGAGCUUGUCAUAAGAAAAUGAGUUUCUUGAUAAAAUGAAAGACAAUGCGGUCGUCCGAAUAUGGUCCGAGAAAACGUAACGAGGGAAGGGUGAUAGUCUGGUGAAUGAGUACACGACUUGCCUCGUUUCCCGAAGACUCAAGCUGACGAAGACUAUUUAAGAGCCGUUAGCGUCAACUUUCUUAAAGAAGCCAAUGAGCAUCACGAGAAUGAGUGAACAAUGAGUCGUAGCUCAGAUCAAGUAAAAAGGAGAUAGAGGAGGUACCCUUUUAAAGAGUUUUCGAGAUUCAAUCUUAACAUAUGGUUUGAAGAAAGGGGUCGAUGUCUUCGUCUAGAAAAUUAGGGCAAGGCCGUAUAUGUAAAUUUUCGUUUUAUGUAAAGAGAUUUAUUUUCUAGUAAAGUUGUUCUAAUAGAAUUGAAUUAGAAUCAACGUCUCUUUUUGCAUUCAUGCAUCAACAUUACAUUUCAUUGCAAUAAAUAAAUUUCCUAAAAUCCAAAAGUGCAUAGAGUUCAGAACUCUAGUAUAGAGCCAUAUGGAUGAUAAAGAAUUGGAUUUCUUUGAAUAUAUCGAUGGUUCGAAAGGUAAAGAUGUUUGUGCCUUUGAAGAAGAAACUAAAAAACUAUCAGGAAUUUGUUUCUACAUCCCUAGAGGUGUUCUAAACAACUGGACUGUGGAGUAAAUUCUUGUAGUUUUUAGGACCAUUUUAGAGUAAUAUUCAGAACACUCUUAUUGCUCUAAGCCUAGGAGCAAUAGAAAAUCUUUUUGUGAAAAAGGCACAUGUCCACUAUUUUUUAUUUCAACGAAAUGCAUCUUUGUGUCCUGUUUUGGCAAACAUUCUUUUGUUUUUUCCAUUUUAUUCAUACUCAUACCACACAAAUAAUUCCCCUUUGAUUCAUUUGUUCUUUGAGUCUUCUUUCGUUCCUUUAAUAGGUCUCUAGAUAUCAAUGAUAUGAGUGACACUGCUAUUGACUCAGAACCUUCUUUUGAGCAAGAUAUGUAUCCAGAGGAACCUCAGGACUUUGAAGAUGACCGAGACUAUAGCUUAUCUCUUGAUUGCUAAGGAUGAGAGAACAAGUCGAGAAACAAAUCCUACUUUACAAAGAAUCAGUAAAAAUUGUGAGCUUAGAAGAAGAGAAAGAGGUGAAGAUCGGAGCAUGUAUCACCGCAGAGACAAAGCAAGACGUCAUGUAUUCGUUUGAUCGUAUCAAGAUAUGACUGAGCUACUAAGACUUGUAGACACUGUUGAGGCUAAAAAAAAGUGUUUGAGGAACACAUGCUAAUGGUUUUGCAAUGGCCAAGCAACUUAUGAGAUACUAUUGGUCCACCAUGGAAGGAGAUUGCAUCAGUUAUACCAAGCAAUGCAUAAGUGCCAAAUUUAUAGAGAAAAGAUUCAUGUGCCUCAUUCAUCUCUUCUUGUUAUAACUUUUCGAUGGGCUUUCUCUAUGAGGGCCAUGAUGUCAUUGGGCUGACCUCGCCAAAAGCUUUUAGCAGUCAUCGAUUUAUCUUUGUGGUCGUCGAUUACUUAAUCAAGUGGGUAGAGGUUGUUUCAUAUGCCAAUAUCACAAAGUUAACAGUCAUCAAAUUUUUGAAAAAAGAAAUCAUAUGUCGGUAUGAAAUGCCAAAAAAGGAUCAUAUCUGACAAUGCACUGAAUUUGAACAACGGCAUAGUAUCAAAAGUUUGUAUUCUGUUCAAGAUUAAAUGAGUUAUCGCCCCAAAGUAAACGAUGCAGUGGAGGCAAAAAAAAGAAAAGAAAAAAUCCCUUUACUGGGGCAACUCAUUUCUUAUUGGUAUAUGAAACAGAGGUAGUUUUACCCAUUGAAGUUGAUAUUCCUUCCCUUCGAGUCUUGUUAGAGCUGAAGUUGGAUGAAGCUGAAUAGAUCCAAUCCCGAUAUAAUCAGAUAAAUUUGAUUGAUAAGAAAAGGUUGACAGCUAUCUGUCAUGGUAAAACGUACCAAAAGCGAAUGAUACGAGCUCACCAAAUAAGGUUCGCCCUAGAGAAUUCCAUGAGGGGGACCUGAUAUCGAAGAAGAUCCUUCCCAUACAAAAUAACUUCUAAAGAAAGUGGAUGCCAAACUAGAAAGGACCUUAUGUGGAAGGUCUUAUCUGAAAAAGCGUCGAUAUUGACCAAGAUGGACGGCAAGAACCUGCCUAGUCCUGUGAAUUCUGAUUCAAGCAAUAAAUACUUCACUUGAAAAAGAAACGAAAAAAAUAAAAGAAAAAAAAAUAAAAAUAAAAAUAAAAAAUAGAGGCCAAGGCAAAAACCCGCAAAGGGCGCUUGAGAUCAAAGGGGUUUUGAAUUGAAAGCCCAGAAAAGGGCAAUUCAAAAUUUUUAUCAAAGGUGGGGCAUGUGGUAAUCUUGUCAUCUCUGAAUUAGCAAGAAGAGGAGAUGCUACAUCUUGGGGCAUUAACAAAGUCUUCUAGGACCUCUAAACACAUAUCAAGUUCAAAAGGGUCCUCAAGAAGUUUGUGCAGAGAAGCUCAUGCUGCGAUAUCUAGGGCACCUGUUUGCAUCUCAAUUUGUCUAAAGCAAACACAACAGCUAAUAAUUUUUUCUCAGUGGUUGUGUAAUUGCUUUGGGCAUCAUCCAAAGUCUUCGAAGCAUAAUAGAUAACAUGAGGCUCUUUCCCUAUUCUUUGGCCAAGAAUAGCUCCCACACUUUGGUCACUUGCAUCACACUUGAUUUCGAAUGAGAAGUUCUAAUUUGGUGGUUGCACUAUGGGAGCGGAAACCAAUUUCAGCAAGUCAAAUGCGUCUUUACAAGUUUGGUCAAAUUCAAAUUCUUUAUCCUUUUGUAUUAGAUUGCAAAUCGGUUGCACGAUCUUCGAAAAGUCUUUUAUGAAUCGUCUAUAAAAUCCUGCAUGGCCAAGAAACGAACGUACUCCCCUCACAGAUGUAGGGUAAGGUAAUGAGUCAAUAAUAUCCGUUUUUGCUUUAUCGACCUCAAUACCUUCUGAGGAAACUAUAUGACCCAAAAUUAAUCCUUUGUCAACCAUGAAGUGGCAUUUUUCAUAAUUUAAAACAAGAUUAAAUUCUAGGCAUCUUUGUAAUAUCUUAGCAAGAUUAUAGAGACAUUCGUUAAAAGAGUUACCGUACACCGUGAAGUCAUCCAUGAAGACUUCAAUGAUUUUCUUGACAUAAUCGAAGAAUAUACUUACCAUACAUCUCUGGAAAGUGGCCAGAGCAUUACAGAGUCCAAACGGCAUUCAUCUAUACGUAAACGUUCCAAAGGGGCACGUGAAAGUUGUUUUGUUUUGAUCCUCUAGAGCCACCAGAAUUUGGAAAAAUCCUGCGUACCCAUCGAGACAACAAUAAUGGGUCUUACCAACUAAUCGCUCAAGCAUUUGAUCGAUGAAGGGAAGUGGAAAAUGGUUUUUCUGAGUAGCUGCAUUCAACUUCCUGUAAUCGAUGCAAACCCUCCAUGCAUUCUGGACUCGGGUAGGGACUAGCUCUCCUGAUGAGUUUUUCACCACUGCCACGCCAGUUUUCUUGGGCACGACAUGAACCGGGCUAACCCAAACACUAUCGGAGAUCGAGUAUAUCAUUCCAGUAUCCAACAAUUUCUGAAUCUCCUUAUUUACUUCCUCUAUCAUGGGUGGAUUAAGGCACCUUUGAGCAUCUCUCUUUGGUUUCGUGUUAUCUUCGAUGGAAAUUUUGUGCAUACAAGUGGAUGGACUUAACCCUUUUAUGUCUGCUAUUGUCCAACCAAUAGCUUCCUUAUAAUUCCUCAGAACUCGAACUAGACUUUCCUCCUUGUCUUUGAUUAGUUUGUUUAACACUAUCACUGGUAAAGUGUCUUUCUCUCCCAAAAAGACGUACUUGAGGUGGUCCGGUAAUGCUUUAAGCUCCAAGGUUGGUGGCUGCAAAACCGAAGGCAACAUUUUAGUUUGGAAAGGUAAUAGUUCAAAUUGGUUACCUCGAUUCAUCAACGAUGGUUGCGUCUCCAAGUGUUUGACAAUUUCUCACAACGGAUCUCCUAUAAUUGAUAAUUCCUUGAGACGACUUAAAACAUCCAUGUCAAUGCUUCUGUAAAGGACAGUUUCCAACUCAUCAUGGUCAUGAUAUUCAAAAUAAGAUUAAGUUAAACAAUCUAUAAUAUUGAUACUAGAAAUACUUAAUAGUGAGUUAGGAUGACCCAUAGCUUUGUAGACAUUGAAUUUCACGAUCUCACCGUCAAACUCCAUUGUCAGUGUUCCGCACCGAACGUCAAUUUUUGUGCUUGCGGUACUUAGGAACGGUUUUCCAAGCAAAAUGUCAGAUGAAUUAGUUGAGUUAUCGUCCUCCAUAUUAAUAAUGUAGAAAUCUGAAGGGAAAACUAAUUCAUUAACUUUAACAAUGACGUCUUCAAGCAACCCUUUGGGAAAGACGACUGACCUGUUCGCCAACUGAAUUAUUACUCCUGUCUCUUUUAAAAGACCCGUGUUAAUCAACUUAUAAAUAGGAUAAGGCAUAAUAUUAAUGGAAGCCCCUAAAUCACACAUGGAUUUCUUAAUGCCUACAUUACCUAUCUCACAGGAAAUAGCAAACAUACAUUGGUCAUUGUAUUUGGGCGGAACUUUCUUUUGCAGUAUGGCGGAGACAUUUUCUCCUACAUUUACUCUUUCGUUACCUAUUAACCUCUUCUUUAUAGUACACAAUUCCUUGAGGAAAUUUUCAAAACGAGGGAUUUGUUUGAUAGCAUCAAGCAAAGUGAUAUUUACCUCCACCUUCCUGAAUGUUUCGAGGAUUUUUUUCCUCCUUAUCUUUUUUAUCCCUUGCGAGCCUCUCUGGAAAAAGGAGGUGGCAUCACAACUAGUCUCUGAAUUUUUGAUUUCGGUCUGGCUUUUGGAUCAGAGAUCUAUUUUUCCCGUUCAUUGUCUUACCCAUGACUUUAGUCUGGAACUGUUUCCAGAACCUUUCCGCUACGAAGAGCUAUUGCACUUGUAUUCUGCCAAGGAUUCGGCUCUAUCUGGGAAGGUAAUUUACCUUGAGAUUCUAAAUAAUUAACCACCAUCGAGAGUUUACUAACUUGAUUAGUUAACUCUUGUAUUGAUGCAUCUGUCCUCUGUUAGUAUUUUACAGCAUCGACGGUAAGUCUCUCCAUAAUAGCUUCUAGAGAUAUGCUCGGCUUGGGUUGUUGUUGUGGCGGUGGCGGAGGUCUUGGUUGGUAUGAUAGAUUGUACCGGUGAUUAGCUCCAUAAUUCAAGUUUGGAUGAUCCUUCCAUCCGGGAUUGUAGGUGUUAGAGAAAGGAUCAUAGCGUCUUUGCGAAGGUCUUGAAAAACCUCCGACAGCAUCAACAUGUGCCAUUGAAUUAUCGUUAAGGAUUGGGCAUAAAUUCGUUAGAUGUUCAUAUUCCACACAGUUGGGUCAGAUUCUUCUUUUUUUGUAAGUAUAGAUUGAACAAUAUUAGUAAGCUUAUCCAAUUUAUCUUCUAAGGAUGAAACGUUUACCUCAUUAACCCGUCUUGUGGGUUCUGGAUUUGGCCGAUACUGUUGAGAAUUUACCGUCAUGGUGGAUAUCAGUUCUCUUGCCCUUUGAGGAGUCAUAUUUACAAGUGCCCCUCCACUAGUAGUGUCAAUCAUCUUCAUUUCCAUAGGAAGCAAACCCUCGUAGAAAUACUGAAGAAAUGAUUGUUCGGUCAAACUAUGUUGAGGACAACUUGCACAUAGUUUUUUGUACUGCUCCCAAUAGUCGUAGAGCGAUUCACUCUCCAUUUGGCGAAUUCCUACUAUGUCUCUCCUAAGUUCAGCUGCUCACGAUUCUAGAAAGAAUCUGUCAAGAAAUACACGAGAUAAGUCAUCCCAUGUUGUAAUAGAACCGAGGGUAAGUAAAAUAACCAUUCUCUUGUUGUAUCAACUAAAGAAAAUCGAAAGGCCCGAAGUUUAAUUUCAUCUUCAGUUACUCCCUGAGAUUUCAUGCUUGAGCAGACCAUGUGGAAUUCUCUCAAGUGAGUUUGUGGAUUUUCGUUAUUCAAGCCUCGAAAAGUGGGCAAAAGGUGAAUUAGGCCUGAUUUCAACUCAAAUGGGGUUUCUCCGGUUGGAUAGUUGAUGCAUAACGGUGUUUGCUCGUUGGGAGCAGCGACUAGUUGAUGAAUGGUUUGGUUUGCCAUCCUUUCUGGUUCACCGAGGUUAUCUUCUGCUUCUUUCGUUUCAGGAAGUGGUUUGGCCUCAGGUUUAACCACUUCGACUUACUUCCCACGUUGAAUUGCCUCUGCACGAAUUGCUUGACUCAACUUUUCGACUUCAGAUUCUAGGAUCCCUUGUCCUAGCUGAACUUCUACUUUACUUGCACGUUUAAGAGCUUCUGUCUCUUUUCAUCGUGCUCGUGCUAAUUUCUCGAUCUUUGGGUCGUAUUCGAGAUCUUCGGAUGAAGAUCAGGUCCUGAAAAUGAUUUAAACAAUUGUAAGUGUUGCCAGUCCCCGACAACGGUGCCAAAACUAAUGGCUGUCGAUUCCACCAAUAUAAACCUACGCCUAAUUUACAAUUUAAGCAGUAUAGGGAGUAGGGUCGAUCAUUCAGAAACUGGGUUUACUAAAAAUUGUUUCUCUUUCUCGACUAGAUUUUUGUCUGGGCAGUUGUCGUGCCCAAGAAAUUUGGAGGAAGGAUAAAAUUGAAAACCUGGAACCUGAAAUAAACAAGAAAAAAUGCGUGAAAAGUAAAAGCUGAAAAUAAAAUAAUAAAAAUAGUUAAAUAAAUCUGAAGAAAAAUUAAUUAAACUAAGCUCAGCUUUAGGCAUGGGUUUUUCCUCGUCUUUAAACUGAUCCUCGAAAUAAGAUGAACUCCUCUUUUCUAAUAAGCUAGUUAUAACUACCAAGGACACCUCGGACACCAACCCUUCAUUGUGUAAAUUAGUUAUGGAACGUCCAAUAACUAACCCUUACCAAUCGAACAACCAACGAAACGUUCGUGAUUUAGAACUCUGGCAGCUUGGCGUCCUAGAAGAGCCUAGCUCAAACCAAUGCCCUCAACCGCGUGGGACAUUUAAAUCCGAUUAAUACUUCCCUUGACGGAACCAAACAGCAAUCUCCACUUCACACGCCAAUGUGUUCACAGAAAACCGAUUAAACAAUCCAUCCUUUCGGAAUUCGAACUGUACGUCUAACCACACUAACUCAAACGACGUCUUUUUUGACUUAGUGUUGAUUUGACAUUGUCAGUUGACGAAAUCAUACUCUUAAUCCGAAGAAACAACAAGUACUAGAUUUUAGAAGUUAAUUUGCUUAGGUUCGUAACUCACGGAUCUUGACAAGGCUAACUCCGACCUAAAGCUGAAAAUGGAUUUAGUUGACUAAGGUUUGGGACAUGUUGGUAUUGGUCAUAAAUUAAAUAAGGUAAAAAUGGGUAAAAAGAAUGGGUGGCGUGAUUAAGUAUGAGGGCUGGAAUUUUGGUAAUGUAUUAGAGUGGGAUGGUUUGACUACUGGAAAUGAAAAGGAAGUUUGAAAAAGAAAUUGUAAAUGGUUUAAGUUGGUUACAAACUAGAAAUCAAUAAAUAAAAAGAAAAAAAACAGAAACAACGAAUAGCUUCGUGAGAAUGAAGAAGAGAUUGCAUUCAAAGAGGAAAGCUUGAUUUAUGACUUGAUGAAUAAAUGAACAAUGUAGCCCCCUAUUUAUACUAGUGGCUUUGCUAAAUUAAGAGCCACUAGCCAGAGAAAAUCAAGGAAAUAAAAUAUUCCAUGAUAUAAACAAUCCCUACAAAAUCUCCCACUAAGUCAACAAAAAUUUCAGCUAAUUAUAUUGAUUAAAUACUAAAGUUACAUAUUUUAUGUAAUUAAUUUGGUUAAUUUAUGAAAGUGCACCACUAAUUUUGCCAUAUUUAUUAAAUUUUGUGCAGGAAUGCAAUUUGGGGCUAAAUAGAAGAAAAAGGAAACAAUUGGGCUAGAUUGAAGAAAGAAGCAAAGAAGGAGAGCCAAAGAAGAAUUUUUCCAAAAUUAAUUAGCUGAAAUUUUUGAGUUAGUGGGAGAAUAUUUUGGGAUUUAUUUUAUUAUGGGAUAUUUUUCCUUAAUUUCCUAUGACUAGUUGCCUCCUAAUUUAGUAAAUCCUCUAGUAUAAAUAGAGCUUGUAUUGUUCAUCAUUUCAUCAAUCAAAAAAAUAUUAAGCUCUUGUCUUUCAAUACAUUCUCUCUUUUCUCACGUAGCAUUGUUGUUUCUUUAGUUUCCUUUCUUUCAAUUUUUUCCAGUAGCUAAUCACCAAAUCAAGCCAUUUGCAAUUUCUUUUUUUUUCAAUUCUUUUCCAAAUAGUAAACCACCCCACUUUAAUAUAUUCCAACCCCCAUACUCAAUCACAUCACCCAUCUUUUCACCCAUUUACCUUAAUUAAUUUAUCAAAUACCAACAUGUCCCAAACCUUAGCCAACUAAACCCAUUUUUAGCUUUAGGCCGAAAUUAGCCUCGUCAAAACCCGUGAGUUACGAACCCGAGCCAUUUAACUCCUAAAAUUCCAGUACUUAUUACUUCUCCGGAUUAAGAGUGUGAUUUUGUCAGCUCAUAAAGUCAGAUAAACACUAAGUCAAAAAAGACGUCGUUUUAUUUAGUGUGGUUAGACGUACAGUUGGAAUUCCGAAAGGAACGUUUCCAAUCAGUUUUCUGUGAACACAUUGGUGUGCCAAGUGGAGAUUGCUGUUUGGUUCCGUCAAGGGAAGUAGUAACCGGAUUUAAAUGUCCCACGCGGUUGAGCACAUUGGUUCGAGCUAGGCUCUUCUAGAACGCAAAGUUGCCGGAGUUCUAAAUCACGAACGUUUCGUGGUUGUUCGAUCGGUAAGGAUUAGUUAUUGGACGUUCUAUAACUAAUUUACACAAGGAAGAGUUGGUGUCCGAGGCGUCCUUGGUAGCUAUAACUAGCUUAUUAGAAAAGAGGAGUUCAUCCAAUUUCGAGGAUCGGUUCAAAGACGAGGAAAAUUCGUGUCUAAAGCUGAGCUCAUUCUAAUUAAUUUUUCUUAAUAUUUAUUUCACGGUUUUUAUUAUUCUGUUUUCAACCUUUACUUUUGACGUUAUUUUUCUGUUAAUUUCAGGUUUUCAAACUUUUAUCCCCCCGAACUUCUUAGGCACGACAGCUACCCCGACAUAAAUCUGGUCAAGCGAGCAACAAUUUACAGUAAACCAGUCUCUGAGGGAUCGACCCUACUCCCUAUACUGCAUAAUUUGCAAAUUAAGGCGUAGGUUUAUAUUGGUGGAUUCGACACCCAUCAGUUUUGGCACCGUUGCCGGGGGACUGGCAAUACUUAUAAUUGUUUAAAUUAUCUUCAUGACCAGAUCUUCAUCCGGAGAUCUCGAAUACGACCCAGAGAUCGAAAAAUCAGCACGAGCACGACGAAAAGAGACAGACGCUCUUAAAGAUGCAAGUAAAGAAGAAGUUGAGCUAGGACAAUGGCUCUUAGAAACCGACAUUGAAAAGUUGAGACUAGCAAUUCGAGUAGAGGCAAUUCGACGUGGAAAACAAGUCGAAGUGGUUGAUCCUAAAACCGAACCACUUCCUGCAACAAAAGAAGUAGAAGACAACCUCGGUGAACGAGAAAGGAUGGCGAACCGAACCAUUCGUCAACUAGCCGCUGCUCCCAACGAGCAAACACCGUUAUGCAUCAACUAUCCAAUCGGAGAAACCCCAUUCGAGUUGAAGUCAGGCCUGAUCCACCUUUUGCCCACUUUUCGAGGCUUGAAGAAUGAGAAUCCACAUACCCACUUGAGAGAAUUCCAUAUGGUCUGCUCAAGCAUGAAACCACAGGGAGUAACCGAAGAUGAAAUUAAACUUCGGGCCUUUCCUUUUUCUUUAGUUGAUACAGCAAAAGAAUGGUUAUUUUACUUACCUCCAGGUUCUAUUUCAACGUGGGAUGACUUAUCUCGUGUAUUUCUUGAUAGAUUCUUUCCAGCAUCACGAGCAGCUGAACUUAGGAGAGACAUAGUGGGAAUUCGCCAAAUGGAGAGUGAAUUGCUCUACGACUAUUGGGAGCGGUACAAAAAACUGUGUGCAAGUUGUCCUCAACACGGUUUGACCAAACAAUCACUUCUUCAAUAUUUUUACGAGGGUUUGCUCCCUAUGGAAAUGAAAAUGAUUGACGCAGCUAGUGGUGGGGCGCUCGUCAAUAUGACUCCUCAAAGGGCAAGAGAACUGAUAUCCACUAUGGCGGCAAAUUCUCAACAGUAUCGGCCAAAUUCAAAACCCACAAGACAGGUUAAUGGGGUAAACAUUUCAUCCUUAGAAGAUAAAUUGGAUAAGGUCACUAAUGUUGUUCAAUCUAUGCUUACAGAAAAGAAGAAUCGGACCCAACUGUGUGGGAUAUGUACUACGUCUGAACAUUCGACGGAUUUGUGCCUAAUCCUUAACGAAUAUUUAACGGCACAUGUCGACGCUGUCAGAGGUUUUCCAGGACCUCCACAAAAACGCUAUGAUCCUUUCUCCAACACCUACAAUCCCGGGUGGAAAGAUCAUCCCAACUUGAAUUACGGAGCUAAUCCCUGAUAUAAUCCGUCAUACCAACCGAGACCUUUGCAACCACCGCAACUGCCACUCAAGCCGAGCACAUCUCUAGAAGCUAUUGUGGAAAGACUUGCCGUCGAUGCUGUGAAAUAUCAACAGAGGAUAGAUGAAUCAAUUCAGGAGUUAACUAAUCAAGUUAGUAAACUCUCGAUGGCAGUUAAUCGUUUGGAAUCUCAAGGUAAAUUACCUUCCCAGACAGAGCCGAAUCCUCGGCAGAAUGCAAGUGCAAUAACUCUUCGUAGCGGAAAAGUUCUGGAAACAGUUCCAGACAAAAGUCAUGGGCAAGACAAUGAACGGGAAAAAUAUAUCUCUGAUCCAAAAGCCAGACCAAAAUCAGAAAUUCAGAAACCAGUUGUGGUGCCACCUUCUUUUCCAGGGAGACUCGCGAAGGAUAAGAAAGAAAAGGAGGAAAAAGAAAUCCUCGAAACGUUCAGGAAAAUGGAGGUGAAUAUCCUUUUGCUCGACGCCAUCAAACAAAUCCCUCGUUAUGCAAAAUUUCUCAAGGAAUUGUGCACUAGCAAAAGGAGGUUAAUAAGUAACGAAAGAGUAAAUGUAGGAGAAAAUGUCUCCGCGGUACUACAAAAGAAAGUUCCGCCUAAAUACAAGGACCAAGGUAUGUUUGCUAUUUCCUGUGAGAUAGGUAAUGUAGGCAUUAAGAAAGCAAUGUGUGAGUGAGGCGCUUCCAUUAAUGUUAUGCCUUAUCCUAUAUAUAAGUUGAUUAAGGCGGGUCCUUUGAAAAAGGCAGGAGUAAUAAUCCAGUUGGCAGACAGGUCAGUCAUCUAUCCCGAAGGGUUGCUUGAAGACGUCCUUGUUAAAGUUAACGAAUUAGUUUUCCCUGCAGAUUUCUACAUUAUUAAUAUGGAGGACGAUAACUCAACUAAUUCGUCUGAUAUUUUGCUUGGAAGGCCAUUCUUAAGUACCGCAAGCGCAAAAAUUAAUGUUCAGAGUGGAACAUUGACAAUGGAGUUUGAUGGCGAAAUCAUGAAAUUCAAUGUCUACGAAGCCAUGAGUCAUCCUAACUCAUUGUCAAAUAUUUCCAGUAUCGAUAAUAUAGAUUGUUUAACUUAAAAUUAUUCUGAAUAUCAUGACUUUGAUGAGUUGGAAACUGUCCUUUACAGAAGCAUUGACAUGGAUGUAUUGAGUCGUCUUGAGGAGUUAACGGUUAUAGAAGAUCCGUUGCGAGAAACUGUCAAACACUUGGAGACUCAACCAUCAUCGGCGAGUCGAGGUAACCAUCUUGAACUAUUACCUUCCCAAGUUAAAAUGUUGCCUUCGAUUUUGUAGCCACCAACCUUGGAGCUUAAAGCGUUACCAGACGACCUCAUGUAUGUCUUUUUGGGAGAGAAAGAUACCUUACCGGUAAUAGUGUCAAAUAGACUAACCAAAGACGAGGAGGAAAGUCUAGUUCGAGUUCUGAAGGAUUAUAAGGAAGCUAUUGGUUGGACAAUAGCUGACAUAAAAGGGCUAAGUCCGUCCACUUGUAUGCACAGAAUUUCCAUCGAAGAUAACACGAAACCAAAGAGAGAUGCUCAGAAGCGCCUUAAUCCACCCAUGACGGAGGUAGUAAAGAAGGAGAUCCAGAAAAUGUUGGAUGCUGGAAUGAUAUACCCGAUCUCUGACAGUGAUUGGGUUAGCCCAGUUCAUGUCGGCCCAAGAAAACUGGCGUGACAGUGGUGCAAAAUUCAUCAGGAGAGCUAGUUCCUACUCGAGUCUAGAAUGGAUGGAGGGUUUGCAUCGAUUACAGAAAGUUGAAUGCAGCUACCCAGAAGGACCAUUUCCCACUUCCCUUCAUCGAUCAAAUGCUCGAGCGAUUAGCUGGUAAGACUCAUUAUUGUUGUCUCGAUGGAUAUUCAGGAUUUUUCCAAAUUCCGGUGGCGCUUGAAUAUCAAGACAAAACAACUUUCAUGUGCCCCUUUUGAAUGUUUGCGUAUAGACGAAUACCGUUUGGACUCUGUAAUGCUCCGGCCACCUUUCAGAGAUGCAUGGUAAGCAUAUUCUCCGAUUACGUCGAGAAAAUCAUUGAAGUCUUCAUGGAUGACUUCACGGUGUACGGUAACUCUUUUAAUGAAUGUCUCGAUAAUCCUGCUAAGAUAUUACAAAGAUGCCUAGAAUUUAAUCUUAUUUUAAAUUAUGAAAAAUGCCACUUCAUGGUUGACAAAGGAUUAAUUUUAGGCCAUAUAGUUUCCUCAGAAGGUAUUGAGGUUGAUAAAGUAAAAACGGAUAUUAUUAACUCAUUACCUUACCCCACAUCUGUGAGGGAAAUUCGUUCGUUUCUUGGGCGUGCAGGAUUUUACAGACGAUUCAUAAAAGACUUCUCAAAGAUCGCGCAACCGCUUUGCAGUCUGUUACAGAAGGAUAAAGAAUUUAAAUUUGACCAGACUUGUAAAGAUGCAUUUGACGUACUGAAGCAGAAAUUGGUCUCCGCCCCUAUAGUACAACCACCAAAUUGGAACUUCCCCUUCGAAAUUAUGUGUGAUGCAAGUGAUCGAAGUGUGGGAGCUGUUCUUGGCCAAAGAAUAGGGAAAGAGCCUCAUGUUAUCUACUACGCUUCGAAAACCUUGGAUGCUGCCCAAAGCAAUUACACAACCACCGAGAAAGAAUUAUUAGCUGUUGUGUUUGCUUUAGAUAAAUUUAGAUCUUACCUGUUGGGAACUAAAGUAAUUAUAUUUUCUGAUCAUGCAGCUUUGAAGUAUUUAGUAGGGAAGAAUGAGGCAAAACCUCGACUGAUCAGGUGGAUUCUACUUCUGCAAGAAUUUGAUUUUGAAAUUCGAGAUAGAAAAGGAUGCGAAAACUUAGUAGCUGACCAUCUGAGUCGAUUACCGAUUCCAGUAGACGACACACCAUUGAAAGACAACUUCCUAGAUGAAAACCUAUUUUCAGCAAAUGUGGUUCAUCCUUGGUACGCAGAUAUAGUAAACUAUCUUGUCACAGGUACUAUACCUUCAGAAUUACCAAUGUUUAAAAAAGAUAAGAUUAAAAAGGACGCUCGAUAUUACAUUUGGGACGAUCCUUACCUAUGGAAGCAUUGCUCCGAUCAGCUAAUCCGACGGUGUGUAACAGAAACAGAGGUACAGUCUAUCCUUGCCUAUGGAAGCAAUGCUCCGAUCAGGUAAUCCGACGGUGUGUAGCAGAAAUAGAGGUACAGUCUAUCUUAACUUUUUGUCAUUCUUAUGCAUGUGGGAGGACACUUUGGACCCAAACGCACUGCACACAAAAUUCUAAAGUGUGGACUAUUUUGGCCAAACAUAUUUCGUGAUGCCUUCUUAUUCUGUAAAACCUGUGAAAGAUGCCAAAAAGUUGGUAACCUUAGUCGACGAAAUGAGAUGCCCCUUACUCCGAUCCAUAUUUGUGAAAUUUUUGAUGUGUGGGGCAUCUAUUUUAUGGGUCCUUUUAUUUCUUCUUUCGGUAAUUUUUAUAUACUCUUAGCUGUUGAUUACGUUUCUAAGUGGAUAGAGGCAAAUGCUACUCGCAAUGAUAAUGCUAAGACUGUGGUUGACUUUCUUAAAAGUUCUAUCUUUUCCAGGUAUGGCACCCCACGAGCAUUAAUCAGCGACAGAGAAACUCAUUUCUACAAUAAACUCGUAAGUGCACUUAUGGAAAAAUAUGGAGUGACUCAACGAAUUGCCACUGCCUACCAUCACAAACAACGGACAAGCUGAAGUGUCAAAUCGAGAAAUCAAGUCCAUACUGGAGAAGACUGUUAAACCUAACAGAAAGGAUUGGAGCUUGAGACUAAACGACGCACUUUGGCUUAUAGGACAGCUUACAAGGGUCCAAUAGCAUGUCACCUUAUCGACUUUUUUUUAAACCGUGCCAUCUCCCGGUCGAAUUAGAGCAUAAAGCUUUUUGGGCAGUUAAGCAGUGUAAUAUGGAGAUGGAGAUCGCAGGAAGAGCUCGAAAGUUGGACAUUCAGGGACUUGAGGAAAUUAGAAACGAUGCAUAUGAAAAUGCUCGAGUUUAUAAAGAAAAGAUGAAGGCGUUCCACGAUGAUCACUAGGAAGCGGUUUUCAAUAGGACAAAAAGUUCUCCUAUACGACUCCACCUUAAAAAUUUUUGGUAAGCUUCGAUCCAAAUGGAUAGUCCAUUACUACCACUAAUUUAUUCUCAAAUGGUGCAGUGGAAAUUCAAAGCGAAGAACCCGGAAGUGCUUUAAGGUGAAUGGACAACGAUUGAAACCCUUCUACGAGAAUUUCAAACGCACACGAUUGAGGAGAUUGUUCUCGAGGAGCCCGAAAAUUGAAUAAUAGGUCGUCGAGCUAAACGACGUUAAACAUAGCGCUGUUGGGAGGCAACCCAAAUUUUCUUUUCCUUUAUGCAAAUAAUUUUUGGUAAAAUGGAAAAUGAAAAUGCAUGUCGANNNNNNNNNNNNNNNNNNNNNNNNNNNNNNNNNNNNNNNNNNNNNNNNNNNNNNNNNNNNNNNNNNNNNNNNNNNNNNNNNNNNNNNNNNNNNNNNNNNNNNNNNNNNNNNNNNNNNNNNNNNNNNNNNNNNNNNNNNNNNNNNNNNNNNNNNNNNNNNNNNNNNNNNNNNNNNNNNNNNNNNNNNNNNNNNNNNNNNNNNNNNNNNNNNNNNNNNNNNNNNNNNNNNNNNNNNNNNNNNNNNNNNNNNNNNNNNNNNNNNNNNNNNNNNNNNNNNNNNNNNNNNNNNNNNNNNNNNNNNNNNNNNNNNNNNNNNNNNNNNNNNNNNNNNNNNNNNNNNNNNNNNNNNNNNNNNNNNNNNNNNNNNNNNNNNNNNNNNNNNNNNNNNNNNNNNNNNNNNNNNNNNNNNNNNNNNNNNNNNNNNNNNNNNNNNNNNNNNNNNNNNNNNNNNNNNNNNNNNNNNNNNNNNNNNNNNNNNNNNNNNNNNNNNNNNNNNNNNNNAAUAGAUAACAUGAGGCUCUUUUCCCUAUUCUUUGGCCAAGAAUAGCUCCCCACACUUUGGUCACUUGCAUCACACUUGAUUUUCGAAUGAGAAGUUCUAAUUUGGUGGUUACACUAUGGGAGCGGAAACCAAUUUCAGCAAGUCAAAUGCGUCUUUACAAGUUUGGUUCAAAUUCAAAUUCUUUAUCCUUUUGUAUUAGAUUGCAAAUCGGUUGCACGAUCACGAUCUUCGAAAAGUCUUUUAUGAAUCGUCUAUAAAAUCCUGCAUGGCCAAGAAACGAACGUACUCCCCUCACAGAUGUAGGUAGGUAAUGAGUCAAUAAUAUCCGUUUUUGCUUUAUCGACCUCAAUACCUUCUGAGGAAAUAUGACCCAAAAUUAAUCCUUUGUCACCAUGAAGUGGCAUUUUUCAUAAUUUAAAAACAAGAUUAAAUUCUAGGCAUCUUUGUAAUAUCUUAGCAAGAUUAUAGAGACAUUCGUUAAAAGAGUUACCGUACACCGUGAAGUCAUCCAUGAAGACUUCAAUGAUUUUCUUGACAUAAUCGAAGAAUAUACUUACCACAACAUCUCUGGAAAGUGGCCAGAGCAUUACAGAGUCCAAACGGCAUUCAUCUAUACGUAAACGUUCCAAAGGGGCACGUGAAAGUUGUUUUGUUUUGAUCCUCUAGAGCCACCAGAAUUUGGAAAAAUCUUGCGUACCCAUCGACAACAAUAAUGGGUCUUACCAACUAAUCGCUCAGCAUUUGAUCGAUGAAGGGAAGUGGAAAAUAGUUUUUCUGAGUAGCUGCAUUCAACUUCCUGUAAUCGAUGCAAACCCUCCAUGCAUUCUGGACUCGGGUAGGGACUAGCUCUCCUGAUGAGUUUUUCACCACUGCCACGCCAGUUUUCUUGGGCACGACAUGAACCGGGCUAACCCAAACACUAUCGGAGAUCGAGUAUAUCAUUCCAGUAUCCAACAAUUUCUGAAUCUCUUACUACCUCUAUCAUGGGUGGAUUAAGGCACCUUUGAGCAUCCUCUCUUUGGUUUCGUGUUUAUCUUCGAUGGAAAUUUUGUGGCAUACAAGUGGAUGGACUUAAACCCUGUUUAUGUCUGCUAUUGUCCAACCAAUAGCUUCCGUAUAAUGCCUCAGAACUCGAACUAGACUUCCUCCUUGUCUUUGAUUAGUUUGUUUAAAAACUAUCAACUGGUAAAGUGUCUUUCUCUCCCAAAAAGACGUACUUGAGGUGGUCCGGUAAUGCUUUAAGCUCCAAGGUUGGUGGCUGCAAAACCGAAGGCAACAUUUUAGUUUGGAAAGGUCAUAGUUCAAAUUGGUUACCCUCGAUUCAUCAACGAUGGUUGCCGUCUCCAAGUGUUUGACAAUUUCUCACAACGGAUCUCCUAUAAUUGAUAAUUCCUUGAGACGACUUAAAACAUCCAGUCAAUGCUUCUGUAAAGGACAGUUUCCAACUCAUAUGGUCAUGAUAUUCAAAUAAGAUUAAGUUAAACAAUCUAUAAUAUUGAUACUAGAAAUACUAAUAGUGAGUUAGGAUGACCCAUAGCUUUGUAGACAUUGAAUUUCACGAUCUCACCGUCAAACUCCUAUUGUCAGUGUCCGCACCGAACGUCAAUUUUUGUGCUUGCGGUACUUAGGAACGGUUUUCCAAGCAAAAUGUCAGAUGAAUUAGUUGAGUUAUCGUCCUCCAUAUUAAUAAUGUAGAAAUCUGAAGGGAAAACUAAUUCAUAACUUUAACAAUGACGUCUUCAAGCAACCCUUUGGGAAAGACGACUGACCUGUUCGCCAACUGAAUUAUUACUCCUGUCUCUUUUAAAAGACCCGUGUUAAUCAACUUAUAAAUAGGAUAAGGCAUAAUAUUAAUGGAAGCCCCUAAAUCACACAUGGAUUUCUUAAUGCCUAAAUUACCUAUCUCACAGGAAAUAGCAAACAUACAUUGGUCAUUUGUAUUUGGGCGGAACUUUUCUUUUGCAGUAUGGCGGAGACAUUUUCUCCUACAUUUAACUCUUCGUUACCUAUUAACCUCUUCUUUAUAGUACACAAUUCCUUGAGGAAAUUUCAAAACGAGGGAUUUGUUUGAUAGCAUCAAGCAAAGUGAUAUUUACCUCCACCUUCCUGAAUGUUUCGAGGAUUUUUUUCCUCCUUAUCUUUUUUAUCCCUUGCGAGCCUCUCUGGAAAAAGGAAGGUGGCAUCACAACUAGUCUCUGAAUUUUUGAUUUCGGUCUGCUUUUGGAUCAGAGAUCUAUUUUUCCCGUUCAUUGUCUUACCCAUGACUUUAGUCUGGAACUGUUUCCAGAACCUUUCCGCUACGAAGAGCUAUUGCACUUGUAUUCUGCCAAGGAUUCGGCUCUAUCUGGGAAGGUAAUUUACCUUGAGAUUCUAAAUAAUUAACCACCAUCGAGAGUUUACUAACUUGAUUAGUUACUCUUGUAUUGAUGCAUCUGUCCUCUGUUAGUAUUUUACAGCAUCGACGGUAAGUCUCUCCAUAAUAGCUUCUAGAGAUAUGCUCGGCUUGGGUUGUUGUUGUGGCGGUGGCGGAGGGUCUUGGUUGGUAUGAUAGAUUGUCCGGUGAUUAGCUCCAUAAUUCAAGUUUGGAUGAUCCUUCCAUCCGGGAUUGUAGGUGUUAGAGAAAGGAUCAUAGCGUCUUUGCGAAGGUCUUGAAAAAACCUCCGACAGCAUCAACAUGUGCCAUUGAAUUAUCGUUAAGGAUUGGGCAUAAAUUCGUUAGAUGUUCAUAUUCCCACACAGUUGGGUCAGAUUCUUCUUUUUUGUAAGUAUAGAUUGAACAAUAUUAGUAAGCUUAUCCAAUUUAUCUUCUAAGGAUGAAACGUUUACCUCAUUAACCCGUCUUGUGGGUUCUGGAUUUGGCCGAUACUGUUGAGAAUUUACCGUCAUGGUGGAUAUCAGUUCUCUUGCCCUUUGAGGAGUCAUAUUUACAAGUGCCCCUCCACUAGUAGUGUCAAUCAUCUUCAUUUCCAUAGGAAGCAAACCCUCGUAGAAAUACUGAAGAAAUGAUUGUUCGGUCAAACUAUGUUGAGGACAACUUGCACAUAGUUUUUUGUACUGCUCCCAAUAGUCGUAGAGCGAUUCACUCUCCAUUUGGCGAAUUCCUACUAUGUCUCUCCUAAGUUCAGCUGCUCACGAUUCUAGAAAGAAUCUGUCAAGAAAUACACGAGAUAAGUCAUCCCAUGUUGUAAUAGAACCGAGGGUAAGUAAAAUAACCAUUCUCUUGUUGUAUCAACUAAAGAAAAUCGAAAGGCCCGAAGUUUAAUUUCAUCUUCAGUUACUCCCUGAGAUUUCAUGCUUGAGCAGACCAUGUGGAAUUCUCUCAAGUGAGUUUGUGGAUUUUCGUUAUUCAAGCCUCGAAAAGUGGGCAAAAGGUGAAUUAGGCCUGAUUUCAACUCAAAUGGGGUUUCUCCGGUUGGAUAGUUGAUGCAUAACGGUGUUUGCUCGUUGGGAGCAGCGACUAGUUGAUGAAUGGUUUGGUUUGCCAUCCUUUCUGGUUCACCGAGGUUAUCUUCUGCUUCUUUCGUUUCAGGAAGUGGUUUGGCCUCAGGUUUAACCACUUCGACUUACUUCCCACGUUGAAUUGCCUCUGCACGAAUUGCUUGACUCAACUUUUCGACUUCAGAUUCUAGGAUCCCUUGUCCUAGCUGAACUUCUACUUUACUUGCACGUUUAAGAGCUUCUGUCUCUUUUCAUCGUGCUCGUGCUAAUUUCUCGAUCUUUGGGUCGUAUUCGAGAUCUUCGGAUGAAGAUCAGGUCCUGAAAAUGAUUUAAACAAUUGUAAGUGUUGCCAGUCCCCGACAACGGUGCCAAAACUAAUGGCUGUCGAUUCCACCAAUAUAAACCUACGCCUAAUUUACAAUUUAAGCAGUAUAGGGAGUAGGGUCGAUCAUUCAGAAACUGGGUUUACUAAAAAUUGUUUCUCUUUCUCGACUAGAUUUUUGUCUGGGCAGUUGUCGUGCCCAAGAAAUUUGGAGGAAGGAUAAAAUUGAAAACCUGGAACCUGAAAUAAACAAGAAAAAAUGCGUGAAAAGUAAAAGCUGAAAAUAAAAUAAUAAAAAUAGUUAAAUAAAUCUGAAGAAAAAUUAAUUAAACUAAGCUCAGCUUUAGGCAUGGGUUUUUCCUCGUCUUUAAACUGAUCCUCGAAAUAAGAUGAACUCCUCUUUUCUAAUAAGCUAGUUAUAACUACCAAGGACACCUCGGACACCAACCCUUCAUUGUGUAAAUUAGUUAUGGAACGUCCAAUAACUAACCCUUACCAAUCGAACAACCAACGAAACGUUCGUGAUUUAGAACUCUGGCAGCUUGGCGUCCUAGAAGAGCCUAGCUCAAACCAAUGCCCUCAACCGCGUGGGACAUUUAAAUCCGAUUAAUACUUCCCUUGACGGAACCAAACAGCAAUCUCCACUUCACACGCCAAUGUGUUCACAGAAAACCGAUUAAACAAUCCAUCCUUUCGGAAUUCGAACUGUACGUCUAACCACACUAACUCAAACGACGUCUUUUUUGACUUAGUGUUGAUUUGACAUUGUCAGUUGACGAAAUCAUACUCUUAAUCCGAAGAAACAACAAGUACUAGAUUUUAGAAGUUAAUUUGCUUAGGUUCGUAACUCACGGAUCUUGACAAGGCUAACUCCGACCUAAAGCUGAAAAUGGAUUUAGUUGACUAAGGUUUGGGACAUGUUGGUAUUGGUCAUAAAUUAAAUAAGGUAAAAAUGGGUAAAAAGAAUGGGUGGCGUGAUUAAGUAUGAGGGCUGGAAUUUUGGUAAUGUAUUAGAGUGGGAUGGUUUGACUACUGGAAAUGAAAAGGAAGUUUGAAAAAGAAAUUGUAAAUGGUUUAAGUUGGUUACAAACUAGAAAUCAAUAAAUAAAAAGAAAAAAAACAGAAACAACGAAUAGCUUCGUGAGAAUGAAGAAGAGAUUGCAUUCAAAGAGGAAAGCUUGAUUUAUGACUUGAUGAAUAAAUGAACAAUGUAGCCCCCUAUUUAUACUAGUGGCUUUGCUAAAUUAAGAGCCACUAGCCAGAGAAAAUCAAGGAAAUAAAAUAUUCCAUGAUAUAAACAAUCCCUACAAAAUCUCCCACUAAGUCAACAAAAAUUUCAGCUAAUUAUAUUGAUUAAAUACUAAAGUUACAUAUUUUAUGUAAUUAAUUUGGUUAAUUUAUGAAAGUGCACCACUAAUUUUGCCAUAUUUAUUAAAUUUUGUGCAGGAAUGCAAUUUGGGGCUAAAUAGAAGAAAAAGGAAACAAUUGGGCUAGAUUGAAGAAAGAAGCAAAGAAGGAGAGCCAAAGAAGAAUUUUUCCAAAAUUAAUUAGCUGAAAUUUUUGAGUUAGUGGGAGAAUAUUUUGGGAUUUAUUUUAUUAUGGGAUAUUUUUCCUUAAUUUCCUAUGACUAGUUGCCUCCUAAUUUAGUAAAUCCUCUAGUAUAAAUAGAGCUUGUAUUGUUCAUCAUUUCAUCAAUCAAAAAAUAUUAAGCUCUUGUCUUUCAAUACAUUCUCUCUUUUCUCACGUAGCAUUGUUGUUUCUUUAGUUUCCUUUCUUUCAAUUUUUUCCAGUAGCUAAUCACCAAAUCAAGCCAUUUGCAAUUUCUUUUUUUUCAAUUCUUUUCCAAAUAGUAAACCACCCCACUUUAAUAUAUUCCAACCCCCAUACUCAAUCACAUCACCCAUCUUUUCACCCAUUUACCUUAAUUAAUUUAUCAAAUACCAACAUGUCCCAAACCUUAGCCAACUAAACCCAUUUUUAGCUUUAGGCCGAAAUUAGCCUCGUCAAAACCCGUGAGUUACGAACCCGAGCCAUUUAACUCCUAAAAUUCCAGUACUUAUUACUUCUCCGGAUUAAGAGUGUGAUUUUGUCAGCUCAUAAAGUCAGAUAAACACUAAGUCAAAAAAGACGUCGUUUUAUUUAGUGUGGUUAGACGUACAGUUGGAAUUCCGAAAGGAACGUUUCCAAUCAGUUUUCUGUGAACACAUUGGUGUGCCAAGUGGAGAUUGCUGUUUGGUUCCGUCAAGGGAAGUAGUAACCGGAUUUAAAUGUCCCACGCGGUUGAGCACAUUGGUUCGAGCUAGGCUCUUCUAGAACGCAAAGUUGCCGGAGUUCUAAAUCACGAACGUUUCGUGGUUGUUCGAUCGGUAAGGAUUAGUUAUUGGACGUUCUAUAACUAAUUUACACAAGGAAGAGUUGGUGUCCGAGGCGUCCUUGGUAGCUAUAACUAGCUUAUUAGAAAAGAGGAGUUCAUCCAAUUUCGAGGAUCGGUUCAAAGACGAGGAAAAUUCGUGUCUAAAGCUGAGCUCAUUCUAAUUAAUUUUUCUUAAUAUUUAUUUCACGGUUUUUAUUAUUCUGUUUUCAACCUUUACUUUUGACGUUAUUUUUCUGUUAAUUUCAGGUUUUCAAACUUUUAUCCCCCCGAACUUCUUAGGCACGACAGCUACCCCGACAUAAAUCUGGUCAAGCGAGCAACAAUUUACAGUAAACCAGUCUCUGAGGGAUCGACCCUACUCCCUAUACUGCAUAAUUUGCAAAUUAAGGCGUAGGUUUAUAUUGGUGGAUUCGACACCCAUCAGUUUUGGCACCGUUGCCGGGGGACUGGCAAUACUUAUAAUUGUUUAAAUUAUCUUCAUGACCAGAUCUUCAUCCGGAGAUCUCGAAUACGACCCAGAGAUCGAAAAAUCAGCACGAGCACGACGAAAAGAGACAGACGCUCUUAAAGAUGCAAGUAAAGAAGAAGUUGAGCUAGGACAAUGGCUCUUAGAAACCGACAUUGAAAAGUUGAGACUAGCAAUUCGAGUAGAGGCAAUUCGACGUGGAAAACAAGUCGAAGUGGUUGAUCCUAAAACCGAACCACUUCCUGCAACAAAAGAAGUAGAAGACAACCUCGGUGAACGAGAAAGGAUGGCGAACCGAACCAUUCGUCAACUAGCCGCUGCUCCCAACGAGCAAACACCGUUAUGCAUCAACUAUCCAAUCGGAGAAACCCCAUUCGAGUUGAAGUCAGGCCUGAUCCACCUUUUGCCCACUUUUCGAGGCUUGAAGAAUGAGAAUCCACAUACCCACUUGAGAGAAUUCCAUAUGGUCUGCUCAAGCAUGAAACCACAGGGAGUAACCGAAGAUGAAAUUAAACUUCGGGCCUUUCCUUUUUCUUUAGUUGAUACAGCAAAAGAAUGGUUAUUUUACUUACCUCCAGGUUCUAUUUCAACGUGGGAUGACUUAUCUCGUGUAUUUCUUGAUAGAUUCUUUCCAGCAUCACGAGCAGCUGAACUUAGGAGAGACAUAGUGGGAAUUCGCCAAAUGGAGAGUGAAUUGCUCUACGACUAUUGGGAGCGGUACAAAAAACUGUGUGCAAGUUGUCCUCAACACGGUUUGACCAAACAAUCACUUCUUCAAUAUUUUUACGAGGGUUUGCUCCCUAUGGAAAUGAAAAUGAUUGACGCAGCUAGUGGUGGGGCGCUCGUCAAUAUGACUCCUCAAAGGGCAAGAGAACUGAUAUCCACUAUGGCGGCAAAUUCUCAACAGUAUCGGCCAAAUUCAAAACCCACAAGACAGGUUAAUGGGGUAAACAUUUCAUCCUUAGAAGAUAAAUUGGAUAAGGUCACUAAUGUUGUUCAAUCUAUGCUUACAGAAAAGAAGAAUCGGACCCAACUGUGUGGGAUAUGUACUACGUCUGAACAUUCGACGGAUUUGUGCCUAAUCCUUAACGAAUAUUUAACGGCACAUGUCGACGCUGUCAGAGGUUUUCCAGGACCUCCACAAAAACGCUAUGAUCCUUUCUCCAACACCUACAAUCCCGGGUGGAAAGAUCAUCCCAACUUGAAUUACGGAGCUAAUCCCUGAUAUAAUCCGUCAUACCAACCGAGACCUUUGCAACCACCGCAACUGCCACUCAAGCCGAGCACAUCUCUAGAAGCUAUUGUGGAAAGACUUGCCGUCGAUGCUGUGAAAUAUCAACAGAGGAUAGAUGAAUCAAUUCAGGAGUUAACUAAUCAAGUUAGUAAACUCUCGAUGGCAGUUAAUCGUUUGGAAUCUCAAGGUAAAUUACCUUCCCAGACAGAGCCGAAUCCUCGGCAGAAUGCAAGUGCAAUAACUCUUCGUAGCGGAAAAGUUCUGGAAACAGUUCCAGACAAAAGUCAUGGGCAAGACAAUGAACGGGAAAAAUAUAUCUCUGAUCCAAAAGCCAGACCAAAAUCAGAAAUUCAGAAACCAGUUGUGGUGCCACCUUCUUUUCCAGGGAGACUCGCGAAGGAUAAGAAAGAAAAGGAGGAAAAAGAAAUCCUCGAAACGUUCAGGAAAAUGGAGGUGAAUAUCCUUUUGCUCGACGCCAUCAAACAAAUCCCUCGUUAUGCAAAAUUUCUCAAGGAAUUGUGCACUAGCAAAAGGAGGUUAAUAAGUAACGAAAGAGUAAAUGUAGGAGAAAAUGUCUCCGCGGUACUACAAAAGAAAGUUCCGCCUAAAUACAAGGACCAAGGUAUGUUUGCUAUUUCCUGUGAGAUAGGUAAUGUAGGCAUUAAGAAAGCAAUGUGUGAGUGAGGCGCUUCCAUUAAUGUUAUGCCUUAUCCUAUAUAUAAGUUGAUUAAGGCGGGUCCUUUGAAAAAGGCAGGAGUAAUAAUCCAGUUGGCAGACAGGUCAGUCAUCUAUCCCGAAGGGUUGCUUGAAGACGUCCUUGUUAAAGUUAACGAAUUAGUUUUCCCUGCAGAUUUCUACAUUAUUAAUAUGGAGGACGAUAACUCAACUAAUUCGUCUGAUAUUUUGCUUGGAAGGCCAUUCUUAAGUACCGCAAGCGCAAAAAUUAAUGUUCAGAGUGGAACAUUGACAAUGGAGUUUGAUGGCGAAAUCAUGAAAUUCAAUGUCUACGAAGCCAUGAGUCAUCCUAACUCAUUGUCAAAUAUUUCCAGUAUCGAUAAUAUAGAUUGUUUAACUUAAAAUUAUUCUGAAUAUCAUGACUUUGAUGAGUUGGAAACUGUCCUUUACAGAAGCAUUGACAUGGAUGUAUUGAGUCGUCUUGAGGAGUUAACGGUUAUAGAAGAUCCGUUGCGAGAAACUGUCAAACACUUGGAGACUCAACCAUCAUCGGCGAGUCGAGGUAACCAUCUUGAACUAUUACCUUCCCAAGUUAAAAUGUUGCCUUCGAUUUUGUAGCCACCAACCUUGGAGCUUAAAGCGUUACCAGACGACCUCAUGUAUGUCUUUUUGGGAGAGAAAGAUACCUUACCGGUAAUAGUGUCAAAUAGACUAACCAAAGACGAGGAGGAAAGUCUAGUUCGAGUUCUGAAGGAUUAUAAGGAAGCUAUUGGUUGGACAAUAGCUGACAUAAAAGGGCUAAGUCCGUCCACUUGUAUGCACAGAAUUUCCAUCGAAGAUAACACGAAACCAAAGAGAGAUGCUCAGAAGCGCCUUAAUCCACCCAUGACGGAGGUAGUAAAGAAGGAGAUCCAGAAAAUGUUGGAUGCUGGAAUGAUAUACCCGAUCUCUGACAGUGAUUGGGUUAGCCCAGUUCAUGUCGGCCCAAGAAAACUGGCGUGACAGUGGUGCAAAAUUCAUCAGGAGAGCUAGUUCCUACUCGAGUCUAGAAUGGAUGGAGGGUUUGCAUCGAUUACAGAAAGUUGAAUGCAGCUACCCAGAAGGACCAUUUCCCACUUCCCUUCAUCGAUCAAAUGCUCGAGCGAUUAGCUGGUAAGACUCAUUAUUGUUGUCUCGAUGGAUAUUCAGGAUUUUUCCAAAUUCCGGUGGCGCUUGAAUAUCAAGACAAAACAACUUUCAUGUGCCCCUUUUGAAUGUUUGCGUAUAGACGAAUACCGUUUGGACUCUGUAAUGCUCCGGCCACCUUUCAGAGAUGCAUGGUAAGCAUAUUCUCCGAUUACGUCGAGAAAAUCAUUGAAGUCUUCAUGGAUGACUUCACGGUGUACGGUAACUCUUUUAAUGAAUGUCUCGAUAAUCCUGCUAAGAUAUUACAAAGAUGCCUAGAAUUUAAUCUUAUUUUAAAUUAUGAAAAAUGCCACUUCAUGGUUGACAAAGGAUUAAUUUUAGGCCAUAUAGUUUCCUCAGAAGGUAUUGAGGUUGAUAAAGUAAAAACGGAUAUUAUUAACUCAUUACCUUACCCCACAUCUGUGAGGGAAAUUCGUUCGUUUCUUGGGCGUGCAGGAUUUUACAGACGAUUCAUAAAAGACUUCUCAAAGAUCGCGCAACCGCUUUGCAGUCUGUUACAGAAGGAUAAAGAAUUUAAAUUUGACCAGACUUGUAAAGAUGCAUUUGACGUACUGAAGCAGAAAUUGGUCUCCGCCCCUAUAGUACAACCACCAAAUUGGAACUUCCCCUUCGAAAUUAUGUGUGAUGCAAGUGAUCGAAGUGUGGGAGCUGUUCUUGGCCAAAGAAUAGGGAAAGAGCCUCAUGUUAUCUACUACGCUUCGAAAACCUUGGAUGCUGCCCAAAGCAAUUACACAACCACCGAGAAAGAAUUAUUAGCUGUUGUGUUUGCUUUAGAUAAAUUUAGAUCUUACCUGUUGGGAACUAAAGUAAUUAUAUUUUCUGAUCAUGCAGCUUUGAAGUAUUUAGUAGGGAAGAAUGAGGCAAAACCUCGACUGAUCAGGUGGAUUCUACUUCUGCAAGAAUUUGAUUUUGAAAUUCGAGAUAGAAAAGGAUGCGAAAACUUAGUAGCUGACCAUCUGAGUCGAUUACCGAUUCCAGUAGACGACACACCAUUGAAAGACAACUUCCUAGAUGAAAACCUAUUUUCAGCAAAUGUGGUUCAUCCUUGGUACGCAGAUAUAGUAAACUAUCUUGUCACAGGUACUAUACCUUCAGAAUUACCAAUGUUUAAAAAAGAUAAGAUUAAAAAGGACGCUCGAUAUUACAUUUGGGACGAUCCUUACCUAUGGAAGCAUUGCUCCGAUCAGCUAAUCCGACGGUGUGUAACAGAAACAGAGGUACAGUCUAUCCUUGCCUAUGGAAGCAAUGCUCCGAUCAGGUAAUCCGACGGUGUGUAGCAGAAAUAGAGGUACAGUCUAUCUUAACUUUUUGUCAUUCUUAUGCAUGUGGAGGACACUUUGGACCCAAACGCACUGCACACAAAAUUCUAAAGUGUGGACUAUUUUGGCCAAACAUAUUUCGUGAUGCCUUCUUAUUCUGUAAAACCUGUGAAAGAUGCCAAAAAGUUGGUAACCUUAGUCGACGAAAUGAGAUGCCCCUUACUCCGAUCCAUAUUUGUGAAAUUUUUGAUGUGUGGGGCAUCUAUUUUAUGGGUCCUUUUAUUUCUUCUUUCGGUAAUUUUUAUAUACUCUUAGCUGUUGAUUACGUUUCUAAGUGGAUAGAGGCAAAUGCUACUCGCAAUGAUAAUGCUAAGACUGUGGUUGACUUUCUUAAAAGUUCUAUCUUUUCCAGGUAUGGCACCCCACGAGCAUUAAUCAGCGACAGAGAAACUCAUUUCUACAAUAAACUCGUAAGUGCACUUAUGGAAAAAUAUGGAGUGACUCAACGAAUUGCCACUGCCUACCAUCCACAAACAAACGGACAAGCUGAAGUGUCAAAUCGAGAAAUCAAGUCCAUACUGGAGAAGACUGUUAAACCUAACAGAAAGGGUUGGAGCUUGAGACUAAACGACGCACUUUGGGCUUAUAGGACAGCUUACAAGGGUCCAAUAGGCAUGUCACCUUAUCGACUUGUUUUUGGUAAACCGUGCUAUCUCCCGGUCGAAUUAGAGCAUAAAGCAUUUUGGGCAGUUAAGCAGUGUAAUAUGGAGAUGGAGAUCGCAGGAAGAGCUCGAAAGUUGGACAUUCAGGGACUCGAGGAAAUUAGAAACGAUGCAUAUGAAAAUGCUCGAGUUUAUAAAGAAAAGAUGAAGGCGUUCCACGAUAAGAUGAUCACUAGGAAGCGGUUUUCAAUAGGACAAAAAGUUCUCCUAUACGACUCCACCUUAAAAAUUUUCGCUGGUAAGCUUCGAUCCAAAUGGAUAGGUCCAUUUACUACCACUAAUUUAUUCUCAAAUGGUGCAGUGGAAAUUCAAAGCGAAGAAACCCGGAAGUGCUUUAAGGUGAAUGGACAACGAUUGAAACCCUUCUACGAGAAUUUUCAAACGCACACGAUUGAGGAGAUUGUUCUCGAGGAGCCCGAAAAUUGAAUAACAGGUCGUCGAGCUAACGACGUUAAACAUAGCGCUGUUGGGAGGCAACCCAAAUUUUCUUUUCCUUUAUGCAAAUAAAAUUUUUGGUAAAAUGGAAAAUGAAAAUGCAUGUCGAGGAUUAGUUCUGUCUAAAGAAAGACUUAGUACUUAAGUAUGUCCAUUGUGACUCACCUCUCUUUCCUGGGAACUUACUUGGCACAUUCAUCACUACUGUUUUACCAAAUCUCGUAAUCUUGGUUUUUAAUAAUUUAUUUCUCGAGUUUAUAGCUUAGCUAAUAAAUUUGAAAAAAAAACAUUUUAAUUUUCCUAUUAUUAUUAUUUAUUUUUACUAUUUUAUUUUAUUUUCAUUUUUAUUUUUACAGGAAACAUUCCAAGACAAAAUUAAAUUCCACAUGUCAACCUUCUUUUUAUUUCAGCCAAGGCCCACUCUAUCUACGAGACCACCCUCCAUGACAUUGAAAUACAUGGGGAGUUUCUUUUUUCUCUCUUUCUCCUACUUAUCUUUACUUUUAUUCUUUAAAUUACAUUGGGACAAUGUAAAAUAAGUAGGGGGGAAGGAAACAUAAAUUGGUUCUAAUAUGAUUAUCUGUCAUCACUAUUUUUGCAUGUUUUUGGUAAAAGGUAAAAUUUUUCUUUUGAUAAAUUGGGAUGGUACACUUAUGGUUUGACCUAUUUAGCUAUUUAAUUCUUUACACAUGGAACUUUUCAAUAACCUAGACUUAGUGGGUAAGAAAUUUUUAGGAAUUAUAAGUUUGCUUGACUGCCUACUUUUUAUCAUAUGUCAAAUUUUUGAAUGUCAAAAAAAAAUACUCCUCUGAUACGAAUGUUAAGAGUGAAAAAUUGGGGUUUUACAUCGGGCUGAGUAACCAGAACAUGGUGCUUGGGUUGUCAUCAUGUCUCGCGUAAAAAGGUUCAUGUGGUUGCCCAAUUUCUUUGCACUCACUCCGCUAACAAGUUAUCAUGAGUAGGGCGAAAUAACCCGCUUAGAGACGUCCGAAUUGAGUAACCGGAAUAUGGUGCUUGGGUUGUCAUCAUGUCUCGCGUCAAAAAAUUUGAAAAUGCCCUAAGUACAAAAAUAAUAAAAUGAAAGGUAAGCCUAUCAAGCUCUCAUAAAUUCUGAAAUAUAUUUACUUACUUCUUAGGCUAGGCUAUUUGAGAUGUUAAUGUGCUAGGAUUAAAUUGUUGAAAUGUGCAAACCAUGGGGGUCAAGUCCUAUUUUGGAGAAAAUUUUUCCUUUUGCAGAUACAUACAAAAUGCUCGAGGACUAGCAUAAGCUAAGUGGGGGGAAUUGAUUAAAUACUAAAGUUACAUAUUUUAUGUAAUUAAUUUGGUUAAAUUAUGAAAGUGCACCACUAAUUUUGCCAUAUUUAUUGAAUUUUGUGCAGGAAUGCAAUUUGGGGCUAAAUAGAAGAAAAAGGAAACAAUUGGGCUAGAUUGAAGAAAGAAGCAAAGAAGGAGGGCCAAAGAAGAAUUUUUCCAAAAUUAAUUAGCUGAAAUUUUUGAGUUAGUGGGAGAAUAUUUUGGGAUUUAUUUUAUUAUGGGAUAUUUUUCCUUAAUUUCCUAUGACUAGUUAGCUCCUAAUUUAGUAAAUCCUCUAGUAUAAAUAGAGCUUGUAUUGUUCAUCAUUUCAUCAAUCAAAAAAAUAUUAAGCUCUUGUCUUUCAAUACAUUCUCUCUUUUCUCACAUAGCAUUGUUGUUUCUUUAGUUUCCUUUCCUUCAAUUUUUUCCAGUAGCUAAUCACCAAAUCAAGUAAUUUGCAAUUUCUUUUUUUUUUUCAAUUCUUUUCCAAAUAGUCAACCACCCCACUUUAAUAUAUUCCAACCCCCAUACUCAAUCACAUCACCCAUCUUUUCACCCAUUUACCUUAAUUAAUUUAUCAAAUACCAACAUGUCCCAAACCUUAGCCAACUAAACUCAUUUUCAGCUUUAGGCCGAAAUUAGCCUCGUCAAAACCCAUGAGUUACGAACCCGAGCCAUUUAACUCCUAAAAUUCCAGUACUUAUUACUUCUCCGGAUUAAGAGUGUGAUUUUGUCAGCUCAUAAAGUCAGAUAAACACUAAGUAAAAAAAGACGUCGUUUUAUUUAGUGUGGUUAGACGUAUAGUUGGAAUUCCGAAAGGAACGUUUCCAAUCGGUUUUCUGUGAACACAUUGACGUGCCAAGUGGAGAUUGCUGUUUGGUUCCGUCAAGGGAAGUAGUAACCGGAUUUAAAUGUCUCACGCGGUUGAGCACAUUGGUUCGAGCUAGGCUCUUCUAGAACGCAAAGCUGCCGGAGUUCUAAAUCACGAACGUUUCGUGGUUGUUCGAUUGGUAAGGGUUAGUUAUUGGACGUUCCAUAACUAAUUUACACAAGGAAGAGUUGGUGUCCGAGGUGUCCUUGGUAGCUAUAACUAGCUUAUUGGAAAAGAGGAGUUCAUCCAAUUUCGAGGAUCGGUUCAAAGACGAGGAAAAUUCGUGUCUAAAGCUGAGCUCAUUCUAAUUAAUUUUUCUUAAUAUUUAUUUCACGGUUUUUAUUAUUCUGUUUUCAACCUUUACUUUUGACGUUAUUUUUCUGUUAAUUUCAGGUUUUCAAAUUUUUAUCCCCCCGAACGUCUUGGGCACGACAGCUGCCCCGACAUAAAUUUGGUCAAGCGAGCAACAAUUUACAGUAAACCAGUCUCUGAGGGAUCGACCCUACUCCCUAUACUGCAUAAUUUGCAAAUUAAGGCGUAGGUUUAUAUUGGUGGAUUCGACACCCAUCAUAUAUCUUGGAAAUAUUCUGCUUUGGCCCUCCUACUUUGCUUCUUUCUUCAAUCUAGUCCAAUUGUUUCCUUUUCCUUCUAUUUAGCCCAAAAUUGCACCGCUGCACAAAAUUCAACAUAAACAUAGAAAAAAUCAGUGGUGCACUCUCAUAAAUUAACCAAUUUAAUUACAUAAAAUAUGUAAUUUUAGCAUUUAAUCAACCAAUUUUAUCCAUUCUAACUAGAAAUUCUAUCAAUCAAACCCUAAUUCAACAAUUUGUUCAACAUGAAUCAUAUUAAAAAAUCUAAUAACUUUCAAAAUUUUAACUUAAAUUCAACAAAACUUUGUUUUAAGACCUCUAAAACAUCAAAAUUAAAAGAAAAGGACUUGAUUAACUUACCAAAUUAAAGCUUAAAGCCUCAAACCCUAGUUUUUCCCUUUUCUUUUCUUUCCCCUUUCCUUUCUUUCUUUUUCAUCUAUUAUCUGUUUCUUCUUUCUAUUUUGUUUCCCUUUCAUUUCAUUUCAUUUUCUUUUAUUUGUUUUGUUUUGUUUUAAUUAUAAUAAUAUAAUAUAUAUUUACUUAAUUAAUAACCAAUACAUAUUUUAUUAUGAAAUACAUAUGUUUAUUAUUAUUACACAUGUAUUUACCAACACCACUCACUUGUCUAUUAUCAUCACCAUACACUUGUCUUAAUUUUAAUUUAUUCCAUAAUAUAAUAAUAUAAUUAAUAUAAUUAUAAUUUUUUAACACCCCAAACCCGUCCUGGACGUUAUGGCCAAAUCUGGCGAUGUCACAUAGAAGUGCAUUUGAAAACCGUAUCAUUGCUAAAAUCAUUAUCCGUUUAGAACUUAUCAUUAUCUUUCAUUAAUUCUCAAAUCGUGAUUCAUUUCCAAAACGCUAUACUUUGCGGAAGCUUUUAAAAUAGCUUGUGUGUGCGUGGUAUUUUGAUAAAACAUUCAUCUCUUUUAAAACCUGAGUUUUACCUACCUCUAGCAGAUAUAAACAGAAAAUAGUAGAAAAUCCAAAUUUUAGGUAAAAAAUCCAUAGAGGCCAUUAUUACAGAAAAAUACCCCAAAAUAAAACUUAAAAUUGUAAAUAAGUAUCAAAUAGAAAAAAUGAGUCGUGUGGCCACCGCUGAGUCCUCCACCACACCGAUCCACCUAUGUCUGGGGCUUACCUGUACAGAUUAAAUAGAAAGGGUAAGUUUACGUAAACUUAGUGUGUAAUCCCCAUGCAAACAAAUAGACAAUAACAGAUAAUCUCAGUUUGGGCCUAAGCCCUUUUCAGUAUCAGUAAGCAUUAGGGCCUUAGCCCAUCACAGUACAGUAACAGUGACAGUUAUGCGGUUAUAAAUCCUACCCAACCAGCCUCUACACUCCAUCUCCAUCCAACCCUACACUCUAUGUGGGGAUAUAAUCAACCCACCUAUCCCUACACUCCAAAUAGUACCGAAUGCGGCACUAAACAGUAGUUGCAGCUAAGCUGCCAGUAAGUUAGGCUUGAAGCCAUUCAGUACACUUCCUCCAAUCAAUAUAGUGUAUACAGCAUGCUCAACAUACAGACAUACAUAUCUAUCUUAUAUAGGCAUAUAACAGUCUUUCAAUCAUUUCAGUCAAUUAGGGGUCUAAGUAAACUUACCCACCCUACAGUAGGUUCACAGUCGACUUGGACGACCCGUGCAACCUUAGCAGUCAAUGAGUGAAAAUGGGCCCACAGGCCUAUGUUGCAUCCCAUGUAGGCCCACAUGCUCGUGUGGCCCACACGGCCCAAAAUGGCCUCGGCCGUAUGGAUCACACGGUCUAUCACAAUAUUCUUACAUGUCCGUGUGGUUUAUCUGUACGAGGCCCACACGCCCGUAUGGCCCAUACGGCGUAUUUCAGCUCAGCCCAUGAAUCGCAUAUAGCCGGCCUCGUUGAUCACAUGCUCAUGUUCGAUCACACGACCUACCACAUAGGCAGCCGCACACCCGUGUGACGUCGACAAUUACAUUUUUUGGCUUUUCGCCUAUUUCUGUUUUCAGAGUUGUGUUUACACACCUGGUUCGUUUGUGACGUUAAAACACUUCCAAGAUCCCCAGCACCUAUGGUCAACAACCAAACCCCACAAUCAGUCCUAAUUCCUAGUUAACUUGAAACCAAAAUAUUGACAAUGAUUCGUUCAAUCCAUUCGUUACCUACCUUUAAAACCGAGCAACCCCCAACUAUGGAUUCGAACGAGAUAGGUUACCACUCCCACAAUUCACUGCUGACAAAUCUGAUAGACCCAAUAAGACAACAAUUCACAUCUUCAUAGCUUAAAAGAAUAGAAAAGCUUCCCCUAAUUCACCAAACACAAUCACCUUACCUACUAAACGAAUGACGGCAGAACCACACCGCUCCAAUGCUAAUCGAUUCGUUCUGGCCCUUAACCUUCAACAAUGAAGCAGUCGACCUAUCACCAAAAAUCCAUAAACCAAAUAACACCACAGUUACAAAACUUACCACCAAUGCACAAAAACAAAACGGAGAUGACAAAUUGCGGCAAUAAAGAUUUGAGAAGGAAAUGGACUACUAAAAAAACCAAAGCAGGGAGAGAAGGAAAUUUUCAGCGGUAGUCGACAACAAACAAAAAGAGGAGAAAAGAAAGGCCAAUGGCAUAAUUCGCAGAGAGAAUAAUAGCCAGGUAAAAAAAUAGAGGAGGAAAAACAGUCGACUGCAAGGGAGAGAAAAGAAUCGGCAAAGAAAAUGAAGGGGAAGGAUGAAAAGAGGGAGAAGAUUCAACCAAGGGAGGAGGGGGACGUUUGCUCACCUUAAUUAACUCCCCCUAUCCCUAAAUUUGGGAAGCACAGAAUUCCACUCAAUUACCACUACCCCCUAAAUCCCUUAAUUAACUCCCCCUAUCCCUUAAUUUCACUCCCCAAUCGUCCACCACAAUCCCCUCAACCAUCGAAUUCAAACCCCACUCAAAACACCCUCACGACACAAGCAGUAAAAAUAAAUCUCAUGUUUGAGUAAGAACUUGAACUCCAAACCUCCUACUCAAUUGCAAUCCACUUAACCACCAAACCAACAAACUCAUUUUAAUGUAUUUUACCAAUAUUUAUUUAUAAGCCUACUGACUAGAGAUAGAGGUUUAUUCAUUUAAAAACAAAAAAUUUUCCCAAGCUAAUGCUUGAACUUGGGACCUCCCAAAUAUUCCCAAAAUACAUAGCUAUUAAAAUUGACAGAUAUUUUUGAUACAAAUAUACGAAAAUAAAUAUAUAAGAGAUUUUUGGGACGUUACAAAUUUUGAAUAAAUAAUAAUAUAUCUAAUUAAUUAACAUAAAUAUCUAAGAUUUUUAUACACAUUUGCCGCCUCAUUUAAUGGAAUAGGCUUAAUUGCCUAUUUAGUCCCUACUAUUUUCUUUUAAUCUAUAAUUAAACUUUUGCACCUUAUUCUAUUUAGUCCUUUUUCCUAAUUUCUCUUAUUUAAACUAAAUUCAUCCAAUUAAAACUUAAUCGGGCACAUCACUAGACUCAUAAUUACUCCUAAUAAUUAUUUACGGACUCGGUUUACUAAGACGAAGGCCCGAUAUUGCACUUUUUCGAUGCCCAUGAAUUUUGGGUCAUUACAUAUUGUAGAUAGACACUAAUCUUAGUUUAUGUAAUUCAAUCUAUACCGAAAGAUUUGGGUAUGCUUUUUAUGUCUACAAUUCUUUCGUGGGUAUGCUUAUAUUACUUUUUGUGUAGUGUCUUGUUUUACAUAGUUUAUAAUUGUCCCAACGAAUUUAAUUUAGAAUUUCUUUUUUUUUGUUUAUUCUGUGUGUUGUGUCAAUUUAUUUAUUUAUUUAUUUAAAAUGUUUUUUUUAUGUUCUAUUUUUUUUUCAUUUGUAAGCUUUUAUAAGAUUAUAUUUAUUUAUACAUUAAUACUUUUUCUUAUGUAAAAUUUUGUACGUUAACAUAUUUUUAUCGUAUUUACUUUAUUUUCCAUGACACGAUAUUUUUAAUUAUUUUUAAUACUUCUAUAUCAUGUUUUAAUUCGACAAUGUUCAUAGUUUUAUGAAAAUAAUUCUAUUUUAUUCUAAAUCAUGAUAAUGAUAUGGGCACCCAAACCGCAAACUUCACUACAAAACCCCAAAAACACAGAGAGCAAAGUCAAAACUCUUAACGAAAGACAUGAUGGAAUUGGCGAUGGAAACACAGAACAGAACAGCGACACCUUAAUUAAGUCCCCUACAUCAUUCUCUCAACAUAAACCAAAGGAUUAAGUCUCCAUUAGAAUAGGUUUUAUUUGUUUAUUCUCAUUUAUUUAUUUUGAUAAAUCAACAUAAACAACAACCCAAAUGUUGAUUUACAACCUUAACUUUAAGCAAUUAAACGAUAAGUCGGCUUUACAAGUAAAUGAUUAGCCCUCGGCAACGAAAGGCCGAACUUCUCGGUCAUGUCGAGUUCAAUAGGCAACAUCCCAUCAGGCAACUCCCAAUCAAAGCAAUGGGCUAAUUGAGCUAAAAUAAGACGCAUGCUGAUUAGAGCUAACUGCAUUCCGGGACAUCCUCUACGACCGGUUCCGAACGGAAUGAGUUCGAAAUCAUGCCCUCGAAGGUCUAUCUUCCUAUCCUUGAAUCUUUCUGGAAAGAACUCUUCGGCAUUGCUCGACCAUAUCUUGGGGUUUCGCCCCAUGGACCAAGUGUUCACCAAAAGCCGCGACUUCUUAGGUAUGAAAUACCCAUUAACGGUGACAUCUUCGGUCGACUCGUGCGGGACUAACAACGGUGCCGCCGGAUGCAACCUGAAACUCUCUUUGAUGACCAUAUCCAAAUAGGCAAGUUUCGGUAGGUCCGACUCUUCUACCAUUCUAUUCCUUCCGACAACACUUUCUAGCUCUUUCUGGAGAGCAACCAUGACUCGAGGAUGCUUUAGAAGUUCUGUAAAUGUCCACUCAAUGGCCGUGGAUGUAGUGUCGAAGGAAGCUGCCACCAUGUCCACCAUUAUAGCCUUGAUGUUUUCUCUACCAAUGAUGUAGGGUUGAUCUUUAUCGUUAGGGUUUAUGGGUGUAUCCAACAACGAAACCAUCACUUGAAAGAAACUUCUAUAAGGUUUUUGGUCAUCCAUGUUAAUCCCUUGUUGGUAUUCAUCUAUCAUUUUCUCAAAAAAUUCGUGAAGGCCACUACUCACCUUCUUAAGCCUUCUUGUAUAUCCCUGCAGCGUAAAGAUAGAUAUGAUAGAAUCAGUUUUAUAUUAAUUGUAUUUUUCAUUAUAAUUAUUCUUUGUGAAAAAACCAACGAGUCAUUCAACCAAAUAUUAAGACUUCCGAGUUUCACUCUGCAUCUUAUAAGAUUACUAUAACACAAUUUAUUAUGCUUUAAAAUUGGUAUUACUAUUAGUACGAAAAAAUAAAUAAAUUAUGAAAAAGAAAAAUAGUACAUAAAAAAACAGGAUAUAAGGAGGAAAAAAAAAACGUUACCUGAAGAUCAAGUGGAGCAAGGAAAGGCACAUAAUCCGAGAGAUUGAAAACCCCAGAUAAGUGCAGGGCCUCAUCAACCAGCGGCUUAAAAUAGAUUUUAUCAUCCAUGGACCGCCCGAAUAACACUUUCGACAUCAUUUCUUCAAGAACCUUAGCCACCGCCUGGCUAAGGUUUAUUGUUUCACCCGCCGCAGCUACCUUUCUCACUGAUUCAACCAAUAACCCCACCUCCGCCUUCCUUAUCGGGGCAAAGCAUUCAACUUUGGAAGCACUGAGGAAAUGCAAAAUACACCAUUUCCGUACAGUUCGCCAGUAAGAACCGUACUGGGUAAAACCAACGGCCUUGCCACCAUAUGCCAAGUAUUUCGCGGAUUGGACUUUAGGCCUGGAAGCAAAAACGACGUCAUGGACCUUGAGGAACAGUUCAGCGGCUUCGGGUGAUGAUACCACGAUGGUUGGUACUUUGCCUAGCAUUAUCGACAUGAUGGGUCCAUAUUUUUCGGCGAGAUAGUGAAGACUAUGGUGUGGGAGGUUCCCUAGCAUGUGGAUGUUACCUAUGAUGGGAAGAGGGGCAGGACCGGGUGGAAGUUUCCGGCCAUUUUUGUUGCGGUUUGGUGAGCUGAAGAAGUAGAUAAAGGAACAGAGAGUUCCAAGGAGGACGAAGAGUAAGGUUAAUGUUGAAGAAGACAUUUGGGAGGGAAGCCAAUCACAAUAGCUGGUAGUCAUUGGGGAUUGAUUGAUUGAGUACUUGUAGAUGGAAGCAACCGAUGGCAGCUGCAAGUCGGGAGAAUUCGCCAAAUAUGUCGAUUUAAAUAAAAUUAGGGAGUUCGACUUUUUUUUUUUUAAUGUAAGGAAAAAAGUUGAUUUUUGCGGGCUUAUUUUUCCAGUUGAAUUAUUUACAUGGUAAGAAAAUAUUCUUAUAAUUUUUAUUUUAUUUUUUAUGUUUGUAUAACCAAGAUGAAGAUUAAAUUAUUGAAAUUUAUAUACAAGCAAUUUAAGUGCAAGAGCACCACGUGUUAGUGAAUAAUACUUGAAAGAGGUGAGAUUCUUACACAUGUCUCAUAUGCUCAACGAGACUAAAUUGAAGUCUGCACUUAUCAGUGCUUUGUUGAGAAAUGGAGAUCCGAAACACAUAAAUUCCAUCUUUCGUGCAGAGAGUGUACGAUUACAUUUAAGGAUGUAUCAUUACAACUUGAUCUACCAAUUGAUGAGGCAGUCAUUACGGUUGGGGAUUGGAGGCCAAUUUGCCACCAGCUAUUAGGCAAGGUGUCAGGCAAGUUUAGUGGUAAUCAAAUAUAUAUGAAAUGGUUAGAAGAUAAUUUCUCACAUCACAAAACUCUUCUAGUGUAGUUGAAAGACAACAAUUAACUCGAGCAUUUAUACUAAGGUUAAUCGGGGGUCUUCUAAUGUCAUAUAAAUCUCAAAAUUUGGUAUAUUUAAGGGGACACCUAUAACUAAUUAACCUAAAAGAAACUGGGCAAGUCAGUUGGGGAUCAAUUGUCUUGGCUACAUUGUAUCGAAAGAUGUGUAGGACAACAGAAGCACAAAAAUUAAAAUCGGUGGUUGUAUAUUCCUUCAAUCAUGGGUAUAGUAUCGCUUACCAUUUUUACAUCCCGAGAAAACUCUCAUUAUCAAUUAUUACUCGUAAUAAGGUAACAUUCAUUUAAUAAUAUAGUUAUCAUAUUAUCUUUUUUUCAUUAUUAUAUUUUUGGAAUAACAUAUUAUUUGAAACUAAUAAACUUGAAGAUAUUUGGUUAUUGUUAAAUCAAUGGUUAAAAGUCGAGGUUAGUUUUUGAAUUUUUUUAGUUACAUAAUAAUUAUGUAAGGAUUUGAAAUUUAAUAUUAGGUAGGUAUGAAAUUUAUAAUUUCGUAUUAUAAUUUAGAUGGAUGUCAUACUCUGAUCCGAGAAUUGAAGAAUGUAUCCCGUUUAAAUUUUUGACGAAUCAUAAUAUUUGACACGUUAAAGUGUCAUUAAUAGUUUUUACAUUGUCUAUUUUUAAUAAAUAUAUUUGAAGUAAAUUUUUUUAUAUAUUCUAUUUGAACAUUUUUAGAUUUUAAAAAAAAAAUUAUACAUACUUUUCAUAUAUUUUUUUUAAAAAUUAGGACCAAAUUAAUAGAAUAUAAAAAUAUUGAUGGUUUAAUUUAUUAUUAUAUCAAUCAAAAUUAUUACAAUUGAUGGAAAAUAUUAUUUUUCAUGAUGGAAAACAAUUAUACAUACUUUUCAUCCACCUAAAUCUGCUGGUCUAUUUGCGAAGGCUUUCCUUCUUUUAGCUACAAUUGUAUUUAUUAAUUCAUAGAUUUGUCGGGAUAACAAAAAAAUUAUAAACAAUUAUAAUGAGCCAAUGGCCAUUACUUGCAGGGACCACUGGAUCAAUCACAAAUGCCGACACCUAAAAUCAUAUAGUUAUUUUGGAUAAAUCUAACGUGAUGUAAAGUAUAUAUAUUUAUAAAAUAUUAUAAAUUAUAAUAUCAUAUAAUAAAAUAAUAUAUGAAUUUUAAUUGUAUUGGGUAACAUGUAUUUGUUUUCAACAUACCAUAAUGGGAAGGAAAAUGUGGAUACAGAUAUAAGUUGGGCAAGAAGUUACAAGUGGUUCAACACGGCAUGAUUGCAUGAUGUGAGGGUGACAACUAACCAGGGGACAUGUCCAACCAGACGAUGGGUUAAAUUUAAUACGGAUAGAGUUGUAUCCAGAAAUAACUCAUUUGCGGGCAUUGGGGGAGUGUUUAGCGGUGCCGACAGCUAGUGGUGAGGUGGUUUUUCGAUGAAGUUAGGAAAUGAUUCAAUUUUCAAGAUUGAGGCGAGAGCCUUACUUAAAGGCCUACUUAUAUCAUGGAGAAAAGGUUAUCGACAGUUGGAAGUGGAAUGUGAUAAUACUCUCUUAGUUGAAUUGAUUUUAGCUGGCAGAGUUGCAGAUAGUCAUUUGACUGAAAUGCGCCUUAUCCAUCAUUUAUUGAGUUGGAAUUGGAAGAUCCUUGUUCCUCUUACUUCGAGGUCGCAAAAUACAGUAGUUGAUCAUAUGGCCAAGUGUAUGGCGACUAUUUCCACAUAAAUUCAUUGGUUUGAAGAACCACCGCAAUUAGCUAGAAGUUUAAUUGAGGCGGAUUAUGUUCUUACUUUGAGUCACUAGUGUCAUUUUUUGAGUUUUUCGCUUUAAGCUAUCUUUUUUCUACCAAAAAAAAUGUGUACAAUUACUUUACACUACAUGAAUUAUUGAGAGGAGAAAUUCAUAUUAGUUAUAUAUAUUAUAAUUUGUAUAUAAUAAAUAUUUUAAUAAUUGUUGCAUGUUAUAUUUAUGUAAUAUGGUAUGCAACCGUUUUUUUAUUGUUUAUGUCUAUUUACAAUUCAUAUUCAAGGUUCGUGUGGUUAUUCUUUCCAACAAAACUAUUUCUAAGGUCCAAAAAAAAUUUCAUAUUUGAAUUUAAAUGGAAAAUUGUUAUUAAAUAAAAGAUAAUUAUAAUUUCAUAGUUCAAAUUUAAAACUCAAUAUAUUUAUUUAUCAAUUUUUUUAAAUCUAAUAUUUAAAUAUAUCAAAUGGUUUAAACCAUUUAAUCUAAAUUUAGAUUAAAUAUUUUUAAAUAUAAAAACAUUAAUUAAUUGUAUAAAUUUUCAUCAUUUAAUAAAUCUAAAGUAAACCUUAAAUCCUAAACCAUUUAAUAUAUAUAAAAUUGAUCUAUUAUCUCUUAAAUAAUUUAAACUAUCUCCUAAACCCCUAUCUCCUAAACCCUACAUCAUAAAACAUAAACCCUAAACCCCUAACCCCUAACCCUUCUUUUACAAUUAUAUAAGAACUUAAUUAAUAUAUAAAUUAAAAAAUACUAAUUAAUCUAAACCUUAAACCCUAACCCGACCUCGAAUCUCUAAACCUUAAAUCACUAACUCUUAACCUCUAACUCUAACCCCAAAUCCCAAACCCCAAACCCCUAACUACUAACCCCUAAACCUUAUUUAAUAUAUAAAUUAAAAAACACUAAUUAAUCUAAACUCUAAACCGUAACCCGAAUCCCUAACCCUUAACCCCUAAAUCACAACCCUUAAACCAGAAUCCCUAAUUCCAUAAUCUAUAAACCUUAAAAUUGCAACUCCUAAACCGGCCUUAAAUCCUAAAUUAACCAUAUACCCUAAACCAUAUAUAUUAAACCCUAAACUAUAAUGAUAAUUAAUUAAAUAUUUUAAAAUUAAUACUAUUGUAUCUUUUACAAUUAUAUAUGAAAUUAUUUAAUAUAUAAAUUAAAAAUAAAUCAGUCAUGUACCCUAAAAAUUUUUAAAUUAUUUUAAAUAAUAGUAUUUUAAUUUUUUCCAUUUUUAACAAGUAUAUUUCUAUGUUUUUUUAUUUGAAAUUAUUUCUACGUGUCAUUAUUUCAAAUUUAACCUUUUUUAAAAAAUAUUCAAUUAAAAAUAAAUUGAAUUUUAAUUAAUAUAAAUAAACAAAUUAAAUAGUAAAUAGACAGAUAAAAUGCAUUAGCGGUGCUUUUUCAAAAACGCCGCUAAAAGUCUGAGCAUUAGCGGCGCUUUUUUAAAACGCCGCUAAAAGCAUGAGCAUUAGCAGUGCUUUCUAAAAAACGCCGCUAAAAGCCUGAGCAUUAGUGGCGCUUCUUCAAAAACGCCGCUAAAAGCCCCGAAAGGUUUGGACUUAGGUUUUUAGCGGCGGUUUUCGAGAAAACGCCGCUAAUGCUCGGUCUUUAGCGGCGUUUUAUGUAAAGCGCCGCUAAUACUUAAUUUUUAGCGGCGUUUUUUGUCCAAACGCCACUAAAAACGCCGCUAAAAGCCUAUUUUGGUGUAGUGUAUGCAACCACUUUUUUUUAUUACAAUUCAUAUUCAGGGUUCGUGGUUAUUCUUUUCAACAAGACUAUUUCUAAGGUUCAAAGUUGUAUCUCUAUUUAGGUAUGCAAAAUAUCUUACCAUUAGACCAAACACUUGAAUAAAUGAAAACUGUAUAACUAUAUAUUCCACUAAAAAAGUCAUCACUUGCUUUUCUUUUAAGGGUAAAGUACAAAAAUAUCACUAAACUAUUGACUUUAUUCUAUUUUGGUCAUUCAAUUAUUAAUGUAAUAGCCCGAUUUUCAAAAAUGUCGAAAACAGUGGUACGAGACCACCAAAUUCAGAAAAUAAGCUCGUAAAUUUUAUUAUCAAUAAUUACGAGCCAAAUAUGAUUUUUAAGAGAUUUUUAAAUUAGUAAUUUGUAUUUUAUAAAAAUUUAUUAAGUCAAGAAAUUGAGAAAAAGAGGUAUCGAGACUUCGAUAUUAUAAACCGAGCCGUAAAUAUUUUUAUAAAUAUUUACGGAGUGUCAAUAUGGUAGUGUUAAAGUUUCGUCAGAAAAUUUUAAUGUUUUGGCAGUUAAUUAAUUAAAAAGGACUAAAUUAAAAAGAUGCAAAACUUGCUAAAGUGAUUAAAUAGCUUAACAAUUAAAUAAGGAAGGAUUAAAAGAGAAAAUGGACCAAUUUAGGGGCUGGAUGACAUACCGUUAAAAAAAUCUAAGAUUUUAAUGUAUUAAGGACAAAAUUGGAAUUACAAUAAAGUUUAUGUGGCCAAAUUUUAUUUUAAGCAUUUCAAGACCAUUUCUUCUUGAAAUUUCGGGGGGAGACAGCCAUGGAAGAGGGUUUGGAGCUGGUAUUCCAUAUUUUGGCUUCAAGUAAGUUUAAUUCUUGCUUUGUCCUUGAAAUUUUUAUAUUUUUAGACUUUUACAAUUAGGUCCAACUUAGUAUUCUACUAGUUUCUCAUUUUGUUGAAAGUUUUGGAAGAUACUAAUGAUAAGUUCAUAUGAUUGUUGUUAUUUUGUGAUGAAAUUGAGAUGUUAAUGGAUGUUUAAAGGUGUUUUAUUAAAGAAUUUUAGAUGAAAACAUGUUUUAGGGAUUAAAUUGAAAAGUAUUGAAAUCAUGGAGAAAUUCUAAAAUUUCAUGGAAUCUAUGGGAUUUUAUUGAUAUGUAUGAGAAAUACUAGGCUUGAAUCAAGGAUUAUAUUGCAAGAAUUUCAUUUUCCAAGCCUAGGGACGAAAUUAUCAUGUAUUAAAAGUUUAGAGUCAAAUUGGUAAUCAAUAUAUUACACUAAACAGUUUUGGGCAGCAGCAGUGGUCUGACUUUGAAAAAUCACCAAAAAUUUUGGGAAUUGAAUUAGAGGGUGAAUAAAAUAUUAAAUUAAAGCUUAUUGAGUCUAGUUUCUCAUAGAAGAAACGGUGUAAGUAAUGAAAUUGUAAAUCAUGAGAUAUAAUAGAUUUUGUGAGACAAGGUCAGAAUGAAUUCGGGUUCCCCUGUUCUGAAUUUGGAAAAUCAUUAAAAAUUGUACAAAAAUGAUUAUGAGUUAUAAUUUAUAUGAUUAGAAUCCUUAAUGAGUCUAUUUUCAGAAGAAACCAAUAUAAAUAUCAUCCAAAUUCUGUACAAUGAGAUAAUUAAUUUUUAGUGAAGAGUGGUCGGAACUGUCAGACAGCAAAACAGGGGAAACUUUAAAGAAUAAACUGUACUAUUUGGCUGAACCAAAAAUUCUGAAAAUUUUAUGGUAAGAAGGUAUGUGAGUCUAGUUUCAGGGAAAAUUAACGGAUCUUAAUUUGGAGCUCUGUAGCUCCAGAUAAAAAUAAUUUAGUGACUCUGAUUCGGAUAAACAGCUUUGAAUAUACAUGUGAGUGAAUAGUGAAAUUAUAGCUAAUGUUGUUUAAGUGUGUUAUACACAAUAAGGAUGUGGAAUGGAGAGGAGCAGGAGGAAAAUUGGGAAGUAUAUGAAUGAUUUGUGUAUAAUUGGUCAUAUGCUUGAUUAUAAUUGAUAAACGAUGAAAUAGAAAUAAUGCUUAUAUUUGUGCAUUAUUGGUUUUGGUUUAAGCUCAUGUGUGAAAAUAAAGUUUCAUAGUAUGUGUGUAUCGUAUAUUCGGUAUAUGAUUUGGCAUGAAAUAAUUUCAUGAAUGGUUUAUCAUGUGGUUAGUUCCAAAAAGAGUUAUGUUUAAAUAUACUAGCUUGUGACUAUGGUUGAAUGAUAUGUUUAUAUCUUGUGUGAUGUGCAUAGGAAACAAGUGUGGUAAGAUAAUGAAAUAGUAAGUUCAUAUGACCGAAAUUUAAUGAUUAAAUGUUAAUUUCAUGAGUUAUGUAAUGUAUGAUGAGAUAUAUUUAUUGAUGAAAUGAGAAUAAAAUAAAAAUGCGAAAAUUGAAUAAAUGAUCAAAUUGAGCGGAACGCCGGAUUUGAGUACUUCUGAUCAAGUGACAAAGUGAUAAGUGAUAAGUGGCUACACUUAUCUGAUCAAGAAACAAAGUGAUAAGUGGCUACACUUAUCUGAUCAGGGACAAGUGAUAAGUGAUCAUACGUAAGACCAUAGUUAUACUAUGGCAAAGUGAAAGUGAAGUACUCAAUUUUCCGUAACCGUUCCCUAAUUUGAUUAAGGAUGGUAAGUGACAAAUGGGCCCAAAUGAAUUAAAGUAAAUGAAUAAGUGGUAGUGUAUUUAUACCAGGAUGAUGUUGUUAUUUAAGCUAAAGUGAUAUUUUCAUUGCAAAAUUAAGAAUUUCAUAAAUGUGUUAUUGAAUGAUAUAAUCGAUAAACGUUGAGUUAAAUGGUAAAUACGUAUUAGUGUUAAACUUAGGGACAUUGAAUUGUACGUGAAUUAAAUGGAAAUUGCUAGUGAUAUGAUCUAAAUUGUGAGCAUGAGAAAUUGCGAAUUAAAUGAAAUGGAAAUGAAGCAUUGAAUUGUAUGAGUAUGUACCGGGUCUCGUAGGCCCUAAUUAUUAUGAUUAUAAUAUUUUGAGGAUAUAUUGUGAAAAGUUAUAGAAGCAUUCUAAUUAUUUUGAAAGUUUUAAUUUAGUUGAAAUUUUAUAACUCGGUUAAAUACGUUAACAAGUGUAUGUAUUUUGGUAAUGCCUCGUACCCUAUUCCGGUGUUGGAUACGGGUAAGGGGUGUUACAAUUAAUUUUUCUUAUUUAAUCACUAAGCUUUUCAAAAUUAGAUAUUUUGAUCAUUCUCAUGUUAGUUACCAUUAGAUGAGUAACGAAAAAUUGACGUGAACCUUUUUUUUUUGGUCUAAUAAUAAAUUUAACAUUCUCAUGUUUACACAUUCUAUCAAUUUGAUCUCAAAUAUAAAAAAAAUCAACAAAUUUAGCCUUUAAUGUUUGCAGAAUUUGUCAUUUUAGUUCAAAUUCUAAAAAAUUCAAUAAAUUUAGCUCUCAACAUAUACAAAAGGUCAAGUUUUGAUUUUUAAAAAUUUACCCUAAACUUUUAGUGGUCGGAUCUCUUUUGUCAAUGUCAAGUUUAUAUAUGUAAAAUAUUAUCCUAAACAUUGAGGGUUAAAUUUAUUAAAUUUUUUAAUAUUUAGGAUCAAAUUAAUAAAAUGUGUAAAUAUUAGAUAGCUAAAUUUGUUAUUAGACCAAUAAAUAAAACUUGCAUUAGCUUUCCACUACUCAUCUAACGGUAACUAAUGGGAGAGUGACUAAAAUAUUUAAUUUUGAAAAGUUUAGUUACUAAAUUGAAAAAAUUAAUAAUUGAGAGAUCAAAAUAGAUCAAAGUUAAUUGUUUAGUGACUACCCUUUUUAAAUGAGGCAAGAAUUCACCUUUUAAUACAUAACCUUCCAUGUUGCUUUUACGGUUAUUUUUUAUGCAUUUAGAAUAAUAUAAAUUUAUAUAAAAGAACAUUAAUAAGUAAUCAUUACUGAAAAUCAUUAAAAUUAUAUAAUAUUCAAAAAUAAAUAAAUUUUGAAUUAUAUCAUAAAUAUUUGAUAGUAGAAUUUUAUUUAAUUUGUAGGUGUAUAUUAAUAAUAGAUAAAAUUAAUUGUGAUUUUAAUUUAUUCAGAUUAUUAAAAUAACUAUUAAUUUUUAAAAUUAAUGUUAAAACAUUAAUUUCAAGUUUUAGCUUUAAUAUUAAAAACUAUUUUUUAACAUUUUAUAUUUCAAUUUUUUUAAAUUUAAAAUCAAAUAAAAAUAUUAUUAAUUGUAAAAAAUAGAAUGUCGAUAAUGACAAUUUAUCGCAAAGAAAAGAGAAAUAAAAAUAAAAACACACAAAUUUUACGUGGAAACCCUUUAGGGAAAAAAACCACGGGUAGAGGAAAAGAUAAUUCACUAUGUCGAAUUCGAAUAAUUACAAGAGGAAUAGACUAUGUCUAUUUAUAGGCUUGUAAAACCAUAUUCUAAUAGGAAUGUAGUAAGAUUGAAACAUGUUAUUCUAAUCAAUAUAAAAUAGAUGGAGUUUAAUAAGGUUUAAAAAUCCUUAUUCUAAAAUAAAAUAAAAGAAGUAUAGUUCUAUAGGGAUUUUACUUUUAUUUUAUUUUACUACUGUAUCUUAUUUAAAUAAGGAUUCGGGUCACUUAAUUCUAACAAUCUCCACCUUGAUACGAAUUCUCAAUGAACAAGUUCUUCAUCGCGAACUCUCAACGAACAAGUUUUCUACCUCUUCCAUAAAACCCCUUAAGGAUUUAACUUCAACAUUGAACACCAAUCAAGUCUAAGCAAUGCUCAAACUUGGUUAUAGGAAGUGACUUAGUCAUCAUAUCUGCAGGAUUUUCAUGAGUACUAAUUUUGCUCACAACAAUAUCACCACGAGCAAUAAUAUCACGAACAAAAUGAUACCGAAUAUCAAUGUGUUUUGUUCUCUCAUGAAACAUUUGAUAUUUUGUAAGGAAGAUGACACUCUGACUCUCACAAAAUACUGUAUAGAUUUGAAGGUCUUCAUUGAGUUCGCUAAAGAGUCCAUUCAACCAAAUAGCUUGUAACACCCCUUACCCAUAUUCGACACCAGAAUAGGGUACGAGGCAUUACCAGAACACAUACACUUGUAAACGUAUUGAACCGAGUUAUAAAAUUCCAUUAAUUAUUAAAACUUUAAAAUUAUUAACAUACUUUUAUAAUUCUUCACAAUAUAAAUAAUGCAACAUUUCCUACCAACCAUAAUCGAGCUUCUGAUAAUCAUCUCACUGCAUCUAAUAAUUGCAUAUAUUACCAAUAAUAAUUCAAUUUCAAUAAUAAAACACAUAUCUAUAUAAUAUUCAUCAUCAAAUAACAUUCACUUUAAUUAAAAUUAUACAGAAUAUAGUUCAUACGAACUUACCAGGCUAAAUUGUAGAAAUACCAAAAUUUAGGGACAUUUUGGUAAUUUUCUAUUUUCUCAAAUUUCCACCCAAUCUUGAUCUAAAUUAAUAUUUCAUUCAAUUUACUAAUUUAAAUACUAAAACAAUUCAUUUUAUGCAAUUUGGUCACUUUUUGACAUUUUUACAAAUUUACCCUUAAAGUUUCACAUUUGUUCAAUUUAGUCCCUGAACCUAAAACAUGUAAAUUGGUCAUUUUUAAUGAAAACUCAUGCUAGUUUAAUUAUCAUAUAUUUUCCUCCUCCUCCUCUCCAUUCCACAUCCUUAAUGUAUAUAACAUGCUUAUAGGUAACAUUAGCUAUAAUUUCACCAUUUACUUAUAUAUUCAUUCAAAGUUGUCCACUUGCGUCAUAGUCACUAAAUUAUUUAUAUCUUGAGAUACAGAACUCCAAAUUAAGAUCCGUUAAUUUUAUUUAAAACUAGACUCACAUAUCUUCUUACCAUAAAAUUUUAAGAAUUUUUGAUUUAGCGAAUAAGUACAUUUUAUUCUUUAAAGUCAUCCCUGUUCUGCUGUCUGAUAGUCCCGACCCUUCUUCAUUAAAAAUUAAUUAUAUCCUCAUAUAGAAUUAUAAUGAUGUUAACAUUUGUUUAUAUUGAAAAUAUACUCAUUAAGGAUUUAAAAAUAUAAAUUUAAGCCUCUAAUUAUUUUUCUCCAAUUUUUGAUGAUUUUCCAAAGUCAGUACAGGGAAACCCAAAAUCAUUCUGACCUUAUCUCAUAAAACCUAUUAUAUCUCAUAAUUUACAAUUACAUUUCUUACACCGUUUCUUCUAUGAGAAACUAGACUCAAUAAGAUUUAAUUUCAUAUUUUUUUCAUCCUUUAAUUCCAUUUAUACAAUUUUUGAUAGAUUUUCAAAGUCAGACUUCUGCUGCUGUCUCAAAAAUGUUUUAGUGUAAAAUGUUGAUAACUAAAGUUAUAACACUUUCCUUUCCUUUCUCUUCAAUAUUUUCCAUCACUUUCUCUUAUUUCCCUUUACUAACAUAACAAGAAUAUAGAACCUUAUAUAAUGAAACUCUACCUUAACAUUAAUUUCCUACUUUUUCAAUAAUAUCAAACUCAAAAGUAUAUAAAAAUCUUGAUGUUCUUACCUUAUGCCAUUGAUUUCAAUCUUUAACUUGAUUUUCUCCCUCCUCCAGCUUCUAUUUCUUGAAUCUAACUUGAUAUUCUAGCUCCCCAUAGUCUCCUUGUUAUCUUUCUCUCUUGAUGAAUAUGGAAAUUCUUUUGAUUUCUAAGUGAAAAUGGUGAGUUUUUGGUAAAAGGACCAAAUUGUAAAGAAAAGAAAGUUUCUCUCUUUCUUUUCUCUUCAUACGUUAGUUGCAUGGGAAAGAAGAUGAUGAUUCUUCAUCUUUUCUUCCAUAUAUAUACACUAAAUAAAAUAAUAAUAAAAUAAUAAAAUAUCAUUUAAAAAUCAAAUUAAAAUAUUAAUAAACUAAUAUUUAUUUAUUUAAUCUAAAAUAUCUUUAACAUCAUCAUUAUUUUCUAGAUUUCUCUUUCUUCUAAUUGACCAUUUUGCCCUUUAGAUCUUUUAAAAUUCCAUCCUUGAGUCAUCACUUAAUUUGGUAAAAUUACAAUUUAGUCCCUCAUAAUUCUUCAUCUAUUCAAUUUGGUCCCAAUUCAUCCAUCUUCCUUAGUUUCUAGAUUAUUCCACCCUUAAAAUAUUUACACUAUUGGUCCUUUAAAUUUUUUAUAUUUACACUUUAACCCUUCAAAUUUUACGUAUUUACUUUUGGGUAACAAAACUUUUCUCACUUUUGCAAUUUAAUCCUUUCUUGAAUUUAUAUGUCAUAAUAUACUUUCGAAUGUUGACAUAACUCAAUUACCUUUUUUUAUCACUUUAUUUCCUUGUCGGAUUUGUGAUCCCGAAAUCACUGUUCCAUCUAGACCCAAAAUCGGGCUGUUACAUAGCUUCUUUACGAGCCUUAGUAAUCGCCAUGUACUCAGCUUCAGUGGUAGACAAAGCAACUAUAGUUUGCAAAGUGGCUUUCCAACUGAUUGCACAACAUCCGAUUGUAAAGACAUAACCUGUGAGAGAUCUUCUUCUAUCAAGGUUUCCAGCAAAGUCAGCAUCAACAUACCCAAUGACUCUAUCUCUAGUUCUUCAAAUCUAUAAUCAAACAUCAGUAGUACCUCAUAAGUAUCUUAAAAUCCACUGAACUGCUUUCCAAUGUUCUUUACCGGGAUUCACCAUGUAUCUACUAACUGCACUGACUGCAUAUGAUAAAUUUGGACGUGAACAAACCAUAACAUACAUGAGAGAUCCCACUGCACUAGAGUAUGAAACAUGUGACAUGUACUCAAUCUCAUUAUCUGAUUGUGGAAACAAAGCUGAUGAAAGUCUAAAAUGGGCUGCUAAAGGAGUACUAACAGCCUUAGCAUUCUUCAUAUUGAAUCUACAAAGAACUUUCUCAAUGUACCCCUUCUGACCAAGAAGAUCAUGAUUGUAAAUUCUGAAAAGGUCCCAAUUGAGGGAGUAGUACAAUGAGUUAAGUUACAGAUCGGUCAAUGGAAAGGCAAAAAAGACUUGAAGCUCAUCUACUUGAAGUCUUAGUGUCCUAGUGAAAUACUCCCGUAAAACUAAAGUUACCAAGGUAAUUAUUGUAAAUCCUAAAAGAUAGAUAUGUAUAGAGUUUAAAACCCUUAGGACUCUCAUCUUGUAGAUAGACACUAAUCUUAGUUGAUGUAAUUCAAUCUAUACCGAUGGAUUUGGGGGGAGAUCAACUAUAAAUAGAGAUCUUCUCCCUUAUUUAUAAUCAUCUCUUUGUAUUUUGUUCUUGAAUUAAAGAAUACUUUUGAGAGCAUUUACUCAAACACGUAGUGUGUACUCUUUUUUUAUGGCUAUUCUGUUCAUUCGUGGCUUUUUUCUCUUUCAAGAUUAUUUUCGUUUUUUUUUCAGUGGCUUAAAGGAUUUUAGAAAGAAUUCUCACUUUUCAAGAGUUAGACUGACUUAGGAAGAUUUAAAUAAAAGAAAUCGCCUAAAAUUACACGGUUUUCCAGACUAGAGUUCUAGCCCUAAGACAUAUGGAGGUCUCCAUAUUGCUUUUACCGUUACUUUUUAUACAAUUAUAAAGUUAUAAAUUUAUAUAAAAACUAGUUUUUAAUAGUUGUGUGGUGCACAUUAAUAUACGUAUUGUCGAAACCAUUUUUUUGAAAAACGGGGUCGACCUUUUUUGAAAACGAAAAUUAAAACGAGAGUCGCCACCAAUCCUUUUUAUUUAAGUGUGAUCGGAUCACCUCAUAAUUUAAUUAUUUUAAUAAAAUUUUAAAUUUACUAAAACAAUAAUUUUUUUGGUCUACAAAAUCCAGAAAACGGGUUCGGGAGUCGAUUAUGCACGAGGAAGGACUAGCACCCUCGAUAUGUCCAAAAUUGGUACCAGUUGAUUACUUUAUGUCUUAAUGUCGAAAGUUAAAAUUUUAAAAAGAUUUUAAAAUACGAUCCCUUUUUUAUUAAUGUUAAUAAAACUUGAAUAAAUCGAAAAGAGAGUUAAAGACCCACUCGUCCCAAGGUAACUAAAUACCACAUCCCGUAAGUUAGGAUACGAUAUUUAGGACCUUUGAGAAUAAGCUCGCCUUUAAUUUUUAUUAAUUUUUUUUAUUUUAAAAUUUUAAAAGGAUAUUUUACUAUUUAGGUUUAACGAGGAAACCAAAACCCCGUAAGUUAGGGUACGGUUUCUCGAAUUCCCAAAAGCGCGAAAUAUUACCUUAUUAUUUUUUUUAAAAAUUUUCUUAUUACGAAUUGGAACAAGAAUUAAUGCAAUAUCUAAUAAGAUAUAUGUUUAAUUUAUUCGAAUGUAGUGUGAAAGCGAACAAAUAUAUAUAUUGUUGACACCAUUUUUUGAUAAAACGGGGUCGACUCGGGUUUUGAAAAACGAAAACGAAAACGGGAGUCGCACCAAUCCUUUUUGAUGAGGUGUGAUCGGAUCUCCUCGUAAAGUGGUUGUUUUUAAUAAAUAAUUUAAUUUUAUUAAAACAACGAUUUUGGUCUACAAAAUUUAGAAAAAUGGGUUCGGGAAUCGAUUAUGUACGAGGAAGGAUUAGCACCCCCGUAACGCCCAAAAUUGAUACCUAAUUGAUUAGUUAAGGUCUUAAUGUCAAAAAUUGAAAACUUUGAAGAAUUUUAAAAAUACGAUACUUGUAUUAAAAUGUUGAAAAUCUUCGAAAAAGUGGCAUAUUUCACGUUAAUCGAGAAAGAAAAUCAUAUCCAGUAAGUUAGGACACAAUGUUUCAAAUUCCCAAUACGCAAAUGUAUGCUAAAAAUUUGCUUAUUUAAAAGAUUAUCUCGGAUUUUAGAAAAAAGAGAUCAGGCCCAAUAAGUUAAGACUUGAUCUUUUCUUAAUUUCCGAAGUCGUUAAAGCUUGGUUUAAAAAAAAACUUGUGUUUUUAGAUUCAUCGUGAAAAUUAAAACCCAGUAAGUUAGGGUACGAUCUUCUUGAAUUUCCAAAUGCAAAAUACUGCCUUCAUUAUUUUUUAGAAAAAAUCCUCAUCUCGAGAAAACAACGUGUCAUAUCCAAUGCGUUAGGACACAACGUAUUUAGAUUCAACGAGUAAUCUCAUUUUUAUUAUUAUUUUUUAAAAGAGUAAUCUCGUUUAUUUAGAUUCAACGAAGAAAAUCGGAACCCAAUACGUUAUGGCUCGAUUCUUUCGAAGAUCCCAAAUAUCGAGUAUUACUUAUAUUUUUAAAAUUUAUUUUCUUACAAAUUUAAAGAAAAAAAUCAAUGUAAUGUUAAAAAUAACAAUAAUGAAUACGACAAUGUGGACAUAGAUAAUACGAGCAACCGCAAUAAAGAGGAAAAAAAAAGACAAAUCGAUUAAAUAUAAAAUAACAAGUAAAUAAGCAAAUAAAAUUUAAACAUUCUCUCAAAAUAAUGAUGACAAUGUAAAUAAAUAAAUGAAUAAAAAUAUGAAAAUAUAAAAAAGAUAUAUAAAUAUGUAUAUAUAUGUACGUGUUUAUGAAAAUAAAAUGGGUAUUUAGAUAUAUAUAGAUAUGUAUUAAAAUAUAUAAAAAAUAUAUAAAUGCACAUACAAAUAUAAAUAAGUUACAAAAAUAUAUGUAUGUAUGUUUAUAUAGACAUAUUAUAAAAAUGCAUGUGUAUAUAUAAAAAUUAUGAAAUGUAUGAAAAUAUACGAGUAUGUAAAUAAAUGUAUUUUGAAGCUACAAAAUAGGUAAAACAUAUGAAAUAUAAAAUAUUCACAUGAACGUAUAUUAAAAAUAUAUGUAUAUAUGUAUUUCGAAAUUAUAUAAAAAAAUGCAAAAGAUAUAUGCAUGGGUGGUAAUAUACGUGUAUAUAUAUAUAAGUAUAGAACAUAAAAAUACAAACAUGUUUGUAUGUGCAUGUAUAUAUAAUGAAGCUUGGGAUCAAAAGUAUAUAUAAAUACAUGGUGAUAAUAAUAAAUAAGAAAUACAAUAAAUAAUCAUGCAUGAACAAUAAUAUUAAAUUGAUAAAUGAGAAUAAUAAUAAUAAUAAUAAUAAUAAUAAUAAUAGAAGUAAAAAUAUAUAAAAUAAAAGUAAGUAAUAGUAACAACAGUAUUAAACAUAAUGAUAAUAGUAAAAAUAAUGAUAACAUUAUUAAAAUUAAUUAAUAGCAACAAUAGACAGAAGAGGGACUAAUUUGAACUUAAGACAGAACUUCGGGGGAGAAAUCCAUAAAUAAAUAAGGGAGAGGACCCUCUGAACACGGGUGUAUUGUGGGGGGACUAAAAUAAAAAUUUUCCCUCUCCCCCAAAACGGUGCAGUUCAAUCAAGGACCAAAAUGAAAUAGCAAUAAAAUAUGGGGUGCAAUUUUAAAAGACCAAAGAGACUUGAUUGCAAAGUAUAGAAAAAGAGGAGGGGCUAAAACGACAAAUAACCCAACGCUCGAAACGCGCGGAUCCUGGGGUGAAACGACAUCGUUUUAGGGCUACUGUGGUCAGCCCGAAACGACGUCGUUUAGUCCGUCUAUAUAACUCAAAAUUUUUUUAAAAAAAACUUCAGUUCUUUGCUCUUCAGAAAAAAAAUGAGAGUUUUUCUCUCAAAAGCCCCUCUCCCCCGGUCCUAGCUCCGACCGAUAGUCACCUUGCCGGACCCCGGUCGCUGGCGCCAGCGCCACCGCGCACGGUGGCCGGCGAAGGUAAUAAGGGUGUUUUUUAUAUCUCGCCCCCCUAAGCCCAAAUCUGGCCUUAAAAUGCCCAAAAAGCAAAAGAAAAAGGACCACCAGCCUUCUCAACGACCGAUUCUGUCACCGGAGACGAAGCCUCUGACGACAAGGACACGGAACGACUCCGGUGAGUUCCUCUUCCCCUUUCUUUUUGUUUUAUUUUAGUAUAUAAAAACGAAAGCAAAAAAAGAAAAAAUAUCAGUAAACAAAUAUUAUGAAAACUUCAAAGUUUCUUUUCUUUUAUUUCCGAUUUUAUUGUAUCAUCCCCCCCGAAGAGAGAGCUUUACAAUUGGUUUUUGCUUGGCUUUUAUAGCUAUUUUUGUUACAAUAUUUUUGCUUUUGUUGUUACUAUUUGCCACUGUUUCGUUUCUGCUUUGCGUGUUUCCUCUAGUUUACAGGGUUGCUGGAGCAGGUGGGCAGAGGGCAGGUGCGGCGCUGGAUGUGACGGAGGCACAGAAGACCGAGGGUCAGAAGACCCUAGGUGCGGCGCCUAGGGUUCUUUUGUUUUCUGCUAGGGCUUUUCAUUGUAAUGGGUUUUGGGCUUAUUUGUUUUCUCUGGUGGACCGGGCAAAUUUGGGCUUCUACAUAUAUAUUUUAAAAACGUAAUGUAUAAUACGAUAAUAACGAAAUAAUGGAAGAUAACUAUAUGAGUAAAAUAUUUAAAAGGUAAAUAACAAGUAAUGGAAUACAAUAAUAAUGAUGAUGUGAUUAUAAUAACACCAAAUAAUAACAAUAAUCAUAUUAACUAUUAUUCUAAUGCUAAAACAAUAGAAAUGAAUUAAACAUUAAUAAUGAUGAUAAUGAAAUAAUAAUGAAAUGUGUAAGUAAAGAAGUAAACAACACUAUAAAUUCUAAUUACAAGAAAAAUAAAAAUAAAAUAAAAAAUAUACGAAUGAAUAUGCGAAUAAAUAAAUAAAACAAAAAAGAGUAAAUAAAUAAUAAAAGCUUGAAAUUAAACAACGAAGGAUUAAAUUGGGAUUAAAAUAAAAUUUAGAGUCAAAAUUAUGAUGAAAUAGGUGAAUAAACAUAAAAGGGACUAAAUCGGAGCUUGAAUGGGAUUUAAAGGCAUAAAUUACAAAUAAAAAAGGGAGAAGGGGCAAACUAAAACGAGCUGAAAAAGGGUGAGGACUAGAUGGGAAAUUAUUCCUAGUCCUUUGGAGCGCACCGUUUCAAUUUGGACCGAAAUGAAUAAAAAUGAAAUUAUGCCGCAAAAUGUAAGAAAGAAAAAAAGUUUAGGACUAAAUUGCAAAGUCGCGAAAAAGAGGAAGGGCCAUAUGCGAAAUUACCCCUUCAACGCAGAAACACGCGGAUCUUGAGGGCCAACAGGUUGGUUUUCGGGUCUGCGGCCAAAACGAUGUCAUUUUGGCCUCUAGGCUCACUCCUCAAAACGGCGUCGUUUCAUGUCUUUACUUAAACUAAUUUUUUUUCUCAAAAUUUCAUUUUUUUUCAAUGUUUAAAAAAAACUUCAAAAACCUCCCAUCUCUCUCAAAAAACUCUCCCCCCAUUCGGCCGAUGGUCUCCCUCGACCUCCGUCGCGCCACCGCUGUGGCCAGCAACCGGCACUGGAAAAAUGGGCCCCUUAGCCCUUGUUGUACGGCGUCCUUGAGAGCUAAGCUCUCUCAACCCGCGAGGAUAAAAAAAAAACAGGGGAGACUCUCGACGCCUUCGGACCCGAAUUGGGUGAUGAAGGAGAAGCCCUCUGACAGCGCGGCCACGGUCGUCUCCGGUGAGUCUCCUUUUCCCCCUUUUUUAUUUUUAUUACUUAGUAUGUAAAAAAUAACAAUAAAGUAAAAAGGAUAAAUAAUGAGAAUUGAACUUGAAAGUAAAAAGAAAAUCACCUCUCAAAUAUGUUCUGUUUUCGUUUUUUUUAAUGUUCGUAAAAAAGAAAAAAAUUACAGAGAUAAAAUUCGGCUUUUAUAGCCGAUUUGAAAAACCCCUAGUUUUCUAUUUUUUUGUCGUUUUGCAAUUUGGCUUUUUCUUUCUGUUGCGUGUUCAUUUGUUUUGCAGGUGUCAGACGCGUGAGGAGGCGUGCGGCGGCCAGGGGCAAAAGACCUAAGUGCGGUGCACCUAGGGUUGGCAAUCUUUUGUUUUCUUUCUGUUAAGGGUAUUGGGUUAGGGUUAGGCAUUUUUGUAUUGGGCUUAAGUCUAAUGAAUUGGGUUUAAUGUUUUCAUUUUGGUGUUUGGUUUUGUUUGGGCCAUAUUGGGCCCCAAGCAAAAAUGGGCUUGUACACGUAUUUAUAUUUUUAUUCUUUAAUAAAUUGUUUUAUUUCAUAUACUUGCUACAAGUAAUUAUUACUGAAAAUUAUUAAAAUAUAUAAUUUUAAAAAAUAAAUUAAUUUUAAAUUAUACUAUAAGUAAUUGAUAUUAGAAUUUGAUUUUAUUUGUAUGUGUGCAGUGUGCACUAAUAAUAGAUAAAUUAAUUGUGAUUUAAAUUUAUUGAAAUUAUUGAAAUAACUACUAAUUUUUAAAAUUAACGUUAAAACAUUAAUUUCAAAUUUUAGUUUUAAUAUUAAGUGGGUAUUUUUUAACAUUUCAUAUUUCAAUUUUUUUUCUAAUUUAAAAUCAAAUAACAAUAUUAUUAAUUAAAAAAUGAAUUCAAAUUGUAUCAAAUAUAAUUAAAUUAAACUUUAUGAAUCUUGUUCAAAAUCAAUUUAUCUAAGUGGGAAGAGAUUAUCAUAACAUAUUUUUCAAUAAAACAACAAUUGAGAUUGAAUCAUAUAAUUGUAUUAUAAAAAUAUUAUGGAAUAAAUUAAACACUAAUUAGAAAACUUAAACUUUCUAAAAAUAAUUAAAAUAAAAUUAUAUUUAGAAAAAAAAUUAAAAAAUCUAAAUUCCUUAAAAAUUAAAAUAAAAUCUAAUUUAAAAAUAAAUACUUAAAUAUUAGUAAUAUAUUUAAAUUUUCUAUAUUAAUCUUUUUCUUCAAUUGAUUUCUUUUAGACAAAUCUAAUUUAUCAAUGCCAAUAACCUUUUUAUUUUUUUAUGUGAUUAUGGAAAUCACUAUGAUAAUUGAAUUCAACCAAAUCACAAGACAUGUUAGGUUUAUAGAAUCAAAAGUGUAAAUAAAUAUUAUAUAUGGAUAUAAAAAACAAAAUUGAGAAAAUAAAACCUAUCAUCCAUUCUAAAAAUAGUUUUGAUCCCGUCACCUUUAAGCCUCGUUUAAUGCCCAUGGAGUUGCAUGAAUAAUGUUGGUGUAAUUUAAAUGUUAUUGUUUGAAAAUACUUAAUAUUGAAUGCUAUUUAUAAUUGUAACUUUUAAUUUUAAUUAGGAUAUGGAGAUGUCAUUAAUUUAACAAUAAGUAAUUAAAAAUGAUAUCAUUUACGGAUCAAGAAAUCAUAGGAGGGAUGGCUAGAAAAUAAUUAAACUAAAAAAAAAAAAAGGAAAAAGAAAAAAGCUUAUCAGCCUUUGUUGAUAAGGAAAAUUUGCCACAAACUUGAACAAGUAGAUUAAUUUGUCUCAUUCUAAGAACACACCUGGUUCGUUUGUGAAGUAAAAACACUUCCAAGAUCCCCAGCACCUAUGGUCAACAACCAAACCCCACAAUCAGUCCUAAUUCCUAGUUAACUUGAAAUCAAAAUAUUGACAAUGAUUCGUUCAAUCCAUUCGUCACCUACCUUCAAAACCGAGCAACCCCCAACUAUGGAUCCGAACGAGAUAGGUCACCACUCUCACAAUUCGUUACUGACAAAUCUGAAAGACCCAAUAAGACAACAAUUCACAUCUUCAUAGCUUAAAAGAAUAGAAAAGCUUCCCUUAAUUCACCAAACACAAUCACCUUACCUACUAAACGAGUGACGACAUAACCAGACCGCUCCUAUGCUAACCGAAUCGUUCUGGCCCUUAACCUUCAACAAUGAAACAGUCGACCUAUCACCAAAAAUCCAUAAACUAAAUAACACCACAGUUACAAAACUUACAACCAACGCGCAAAGACAAAACGGAGAUGACAAAUUGCGGCAACAAGAAUUUUAGAAGGAAAUGGACUACUAGAAAAAUCAAAGUAGGGAGAGAAUGAAAUUUUAGCAGUAGUCAACAACAAAUAAAAAGAUGAGAAAAGAAAGGCCAAGGGCACAAUUCGUAGAGAGAAUAAUAGCUAGGUAAAAAAAUAAAGGAGGAAAAACAGUUGGCUGCAAAGGAGAGAUAAGAAUCGGCAAAGAAAAUGAAGGGGAAGGAUAAAAAGAGAAGAUUCGACUAAGGGAGGAGGAGGAGGUUUGUUCACCUUUUUCUCUGAAAAGUAAAAAUUUGGGAAGCACAGAAUUCCACUCAAUCACCACUACCCCCUAAAUCCCUUGAUUAACUCCCCCUAUCCCUAAUUUCACUCCCCAACCGUCCACUACAAUCCCCUCAACCACCAAAUUCAAAUCCCACUCAAACUCUUCGGUCAAACUACAACACCCUCACGGCACAAGCAGUAAAAAUAAAUCCCAUGUUUGCACAAAGACUUGAACUCCAAACCUUCUACUUAAUUACACUCCACUUAACCACCAGACCAGUAAACCCAUUUUUACAUAUUUUACCAAUAUUUAUUUAUAAGCCUACUGACUAGAGAUAGAUGUUUAAUCAUUUAAAAACAAAAAAUUUGACCAAGCUAAUGCUUGAACUUGGGACCUCUCAAACACUCCCAGAACACAUAAUCAUAAAAACUAAUAGAUAUUUAUUUUACAAACAUACGAAAAUAAAUAUAUAAGGGAUUUUUGGGGCAUUACAAAUUUUGAAUAAAUAAUAAUAUAUCUAAUUAAUUAACAUAAAUAUCUAAGAUUUUUAUACACAUUGAUGGUCUCAUUUAAUGGAAUAGGCUUAAUUGCCUAUUUAGUCCCUAUUAUUUUCUUUUAAUCUAUAAUUAAACUUUUACACCUUAUUCUAUUUAGUCCUUUUUCCUAAUUUCUCCUACUUAAACUAAAUUCAUCCAAUUAAAACUUAAUCGGACACAUUACUAGACUCAUAAUUACUUCUAAUAAUUAUUUACGGACUAGGUUUACUAAGACGGAGGCCCGAUAUUGUACUUGUUCGAUGCCCGUGAAUUUUGGAUCAUUACAUCUUGUAGAUAGACACUAAUCUUAGUUGAUGUAAUUCAAUCUAUACCGAUGGAUUUGGGGGGAGAUCAACUAUAAAUAGAAAUCUUCUCCCUCAUUUGUAAUAAUCUCUUUGUAUUUCGUUCUUGAGUUAAAGAAUACUUUUGAGAGCAUUUACUCAAACACGUAGUGUGUGCUCUUUUUCUAUGGCUUUUUUCUCUUUCGAGAUUGCUUUUGUUUUGUUUUCGGUGACUUAAAGGAUUUUAGAAAAAAUUCUCACUUUUCAAGAGUUAGAUUUGACUUAGGAAGAUUUAAAUCAAAUAAAUCACCUAAAACUACACACUUUUCUAGACUAAAGUUCUAACCCCAUGACAAUAGUACAGAGGUCUCCAUAUUGCUUUUACCGUUACUUUUUAUACAAUUAUAAAGUUAUAAAUUUAUAUAAAACUAGUUUUUAAUAGUUGUGCGGUGCACAUUAAUAUACGUAUUUAUAUUUUUAUUCUUUAAUAAAUUAUUUUAUUUCAUAUACUUACUACAAGUAAUUAUUACUGAAAAUUAUUAAAAUAUAUAAUUUUAAAAAAUAAAUAAAUUUUAAAUUAUACUAUAAGUAAUUGAUAUUAGAAUUUGAUUUUACUUGUAUGUGUGCACUAAUAAUAGAUAAAUUAAUUGUGAUUUAAAUUUAUUGAAAUUAUUGAAAUAACUACUAAUUUUUAAAAUUAAUGUUAAAACAUUAAUUUCAAUUUUUAGUUUUAAUAUUAAAAGGGUAUUUUUUUAACAUUUUAUAUUUCAAAUAUUCUUUUCUAAUUUAAAAUCAAAUAACAAUAUUAUUAAUUAAAAAGUGAAUUCAAAUGGUAUCAAAUUUAAUUAAAUUAAAAAGAGAUUAUCAUAACAUAUUUUUCAAUAAAACAACAAUUGAGAUUGAAUCAUAUAAUUGUAUUAUAAAAAUGAAAUAAAUUAAACACUAAUUAGAAAACUUAAACUUUCUAAAAAUAAUUAAAAUAAAAUUAUAUUUAGAAAAAAAAUUUAAAAUCUAAAUUCCUUAAAAAGUAAAAUAAAAUCUAAUCUUAAAAAAAACUUAAAUAUUAGUAAUAUAUUUAAAUUUUCUAUAUUAAUCUUUUUCCUCAAUUGAUUUUGUUUAGACAAAUCUAAUUUAUCAAUGCCAAUAGCCUUUUUUCUUAUGGAAAUCACUAUAAUAAUUGAAUUCAACCAAAUCACAAGACAUGUUAGGUUUAUGGCUUAAAUUAUAGAAUCAAAAGUGUAAAUAAAUAUUAUAUUGUAUAUGGAUAUAAAAAAACAAAAUUGAGAAAAUAAAACCUAUAUAUCCAUUCUAAAAAUAGUUUUGAUCCCGUCACCUUUAAGCCUCGUUUAAUGCUCAUGGAGUUGCAUGAAUAAUGUUGAUGUAAUUUAAAUGUUAUUGUUUGAAAAUACAUAAUAUUGAAUGUUAUUUAUAAUUGUAACUUUUAAUUUUAUUUAGGAUAUGGAGAUAUCAUUAAUUUAAUAAUAAGUAAUUAAAAAUGAUAUCAUUUACGGAUCAAGAAAUCAUAGGAGGGAUGGCUAGAAAAUAAUUAAACUUAAAAAAAGGAAAAUGGAAAAAAGCUUAGCAGCCUUUGUUGAUAAGGAAAAUUUGCCACAAACAUGAACAACUACAUUAAUUCGUCCCACUCUAAGAUUGUAAAAUUAUAAGAGUCAAGGUUGCUCGUGACUAAAUAAAGAAACUUGCUUAGAUAAGAGAAGAUAAGAAUUGCAAUAAACAAAUUCUGAAAUUUAGAACAUUCAACAUAUAUCAUGUUGUUUCAUUACUUUGAAAGGAUAUUUUUAUAAGAAAUUAGAACAUCCCCUAAGCAUAGGUAAUAAGUACAUAUAUUAGUGGUUACAUUAAUGACCAAAUACAUGCAUCUAAUCUUAUAUACAUGCAUAAUCACAAAGUGUAUGCUUGUGUUAUGGGGCUAAAACUUUAGUCGGGCAAACUGCAUUGCCUUAUAUACAUGCAUCAUAUCAACAUAAAGAACACUUAGAUUCACACAUAUGUUGUCACGCUAAUAUCAUUAAAACAAUUUCAUUUAAAAAAACAAAUUGACAGUUUUUAAAGGAUUAAUAACCAAAUUUAAUUUAAAAUAAAAAAUAAAAACCAAAUUAAUAAAUAUAUAUAGAUUUUAAGAAAUAAAUUUAUCAUAAUACUUUUUAUGUCUACAAUUCUUUCAUGGGUAUGCUUAUAUUACUUUUUGUGUAGUGUCUUGUUUUACAUAGUUUAUAAUUGUCCCAACGAAUUUAAUUUAGAAUUUCUUUUUUUUUUGUUUAUACUGUGUGUUGUGUCAAUUUAUUUAUUUAAAAUGUUUCUUUUAUGUUCUAUAUUUUUUUUUCAUUUGUAAGCUAUUAUAAGAUUAUAUAUUUAUUUAUACAUUAAUAAUUUUUCUUAUGUAAAAUUUUGUACGUUCACAUAUUUUUAUCGUAUUUAUUUUAUUUUCCAUGACACGAUAUUUUUAAUUAUUUUUAAUACUUUUAUAUCAUGUUUUAAUUCGACAAUGUUCCUAGUUUUAUCAAAAUAAUUCAAUUUUAUUCUAAAUCCAUCUAUUUAACAAUUGAGUUAUUACAGAUGUCAUAUAUUUAUACAAUUAUGCUGUUAAAAAACUUAAUCCUAUUUCAUGAAGCAUAGGGAUCAGUAGGUACUUUCCAGUUCUUAUAAAUUAUGGACCAUAUUAUUUAACAUUAAAUUUAUUUUUAAAUAUUUUAAAAAUGGUGAAUAUAGGAUCUUUGUACUAAUAAAAAAAUAAAUAAUAUCCAAUUAUAAUAACAUUAAUAUUUAUUUUUUAUAUGAAUUUUUUUUCAUUUGCAGUUAUACUUCCAACAACAUACUUCAUUUACAAAAUAAAAAAAAUUAAAAAUAUAAUUUUAUUAAACAAUAAGUCUAACAUUGAUAGCUGGAUUUCUAAGGGUAAUUUACUAAUAAAAGCCCAUUUUUUGCAAAAAUUGCCGAAAUGGGCCCAUUAUUUAAUUAUUUAUCGGAAUGGUCCAUUUUCCGGCAAAUCGCGUCCACGUCAGCGCGAUGUUAGGGGAUGCAUCAUCAGGAAAUCGCGGCCACGUCAGCGCGAGAUGCUGACAUGGCAACAAAUCGCUUCCUCAAGGACGCGAUUUGCUGUCACGUCAGCAUCUCGCGCUGACAUGGCCGCGAUUUCCCCGCGCGUGAACAGUGCCCCAACGGUAAAAAAAAACUAUAAAUACCCCCACCCCUUUUUAUUUUUUUACAAACUAAUCCUCUCUCAUAUUUCCUCUCAAUUUCCUCUAAAUUUCCUUCUAAAAUUCUCUCAAAUCCAUAUUUAAUUUCAAUUUCCUCUCAAUUUCCUUCCAAAAUUCUCUCAAAUCCAUAUUUAAUUUCAAUUUGCUUUCAAUUUCCUUUUUAAAAAUAAUUUUAAAAUUUUUUAUAUUUUUAAAAAUCAUAAAAAUUUGUACGAUUUCAUCAAUAGCCGAAUCAUUGACUCGUCUUGAUAAGCAUCACAUAUCGGUGGAACAAAUGAAAAUGGUAAGUGUUAAAUUCAAUUUUUAAAUAUUAUUUAAGAAAUUUUUAUUUAUGAAUUUUUAGAUAAUUAUUAAUUUAUUAUUUGUUAUAAAAGUCUGUAGAUCGGGUAUUGGAAUGCAAUAUCCGAAAUAUGCAUGGUCCUCCAUCACCGUUGGUAGAGAACUACCUGCGGGAAGCGGGUUUUUGGCACGUGGCGACUGUAGGCCGGGGAUGCAAGUUGUACCCGAAACUAAUUAGUGCGUUGAUCGAGAAGCGGAGACCCGAGACGCACACAUUCCAUCUUCCAUGAGGAGAGUGCACUAUCACUCUAGAAGAUGUGAGUCUGCAAUUGGGAUUGCCGGUGGAGGGGCACCCAGUCAUCGGGUCUUGCCAAUCUAGCAAUUGGGAGGCGGUGUGCUACGAGCUUUUGGGUGCUAUUCCGGAUAAAAUGGAGGGAGGUAAAAUCGAGAUGGGCUGGUUACCUGACACAUUCCCUGAUCCGGAUGAAGAUUCAACCGAAAUUGAAAGAAUCCGAUAUGCUCGGGCAUACAUUCUUCAAUUAAUUGGAGGUUAUCUGAUGGCCGACACGUCACAGAGCCGCGUACAUCUAAGAUGGCUGCUGAAACUCGUUGAUUUUAGAGCAGCCGGUGAACUCAGUUGGGGGUCUGCUGUCUUGGCAACAUUGUAUCAGGAGAUGUGCAGGGCGAAGCGACCGAGGAGAGUGAAAAUCGGAGGUUGUCUGUCACUACUGCAGUCAUGGGCACGGUUUCGCUUUCUAUUUCUACGUCCUCGAGUGGACCACCCAUAUACAUUCCACUCAUAACGAGGUAAAUUUUAUAUUAGAUUUUACAAUUAUUAUGUAGAUUUUUAAAAAUAAAAGUAUGCUAAAAAUUUAUUUAAUUAAGUGGAACCAUUCGGUAAGUUAUUCUCGAUUACCUAGCUCUCUUGAAGAUAUACGGCUUCUAUUGGACCAACGGUCGAAAGCACAAGUGAGUAUGAAAUAAAAUAGAUAUUUCCAUACAUUCGCUAGUCGAUUAGUAUUUAGUAUUUAGUAUUAUUAUGUAUAUAACUAAUAUUUCUAUCAUGUUCAUAUAGUUUGAAUGGACACUAUACGAGGAUCCGGCAAUUCGGGCAGUAAUUCUGGAAGAGUUCUUACAAAAUCCGAACGCCUGGCAUGUGAAAGUCGUGUUGAUCAACUACGCAACCGUGGAGCCGCACCAGUCAGACAGAGUGCUACGACAGUUUGGAUGUAGACAACCGAUUCCUGUGGAUCCUGAGGAGUUUGACGAUCAACACAAAGUCGACCUUCGGUAAUUGAAUACGGAUUGACAGAGAUACUGGUCCGAGUACAUGGAAAUAUGGGAAGAUUGGCAUGAAUAUAUACCUACUCGGGAACCAAUCAUUGUUCCGGAGUUAGCGUGCGUUCCAGAAUACAUGCCAUGAUUUAGGAUCCCUGGCAAGCCGUAUUUACUGACACCAAAGGAGAGGUAGCGGUAAAUACAUGUCGAAAGGGAAAGGCGCGGGCCUCUAAAUCCAAGACGACAAGACGACGAAGGUAGCCCUUCAACGAGGCCCAGACAUUCACCCGACUCAUCAUCAGCUGCCAUGCAAUCACCAGGCCCAACGAGAGCACCGACACAGUCACCCAAUGCAGCAGUUCAACCGAUGAUACCCACGCAACCGCCUUUUCAUAUGAUGUCAGGUGCGUUUCCUAGCCCUUAUAUGUAUCCUAACCCUUAUAUCUAUCCUUUUUCGAGUCCUAUGGUAGGUUGGAGUCAAAUGCCCGGUUCAACUCUAUUUCUUAUUAUGCCGAGUGGACCGCCGAUGUAUAGGCCAGCGGUGCACGAGGGAUCACAAGAGGGACCGUCGGGGAGCCCUCUUUUUUACCAAUCCCCAGCAACGUAUGGGUUUCAGACACCGUCGCCGUUCGUGAUGCAAACACCUCCACAUACACUAUUCUUUGAAGGUGGAUCAUUGUCCCAAGUCUGACAACCAGAUGCCGUACCGGAACAACCAGAAUCCCCGCCGGAAGAACAACAAUCGCCGCCGGAAGAACAACAACCGCCGCCGGAAGCCAGAGAAAGGAGGAAUCCAGCGUGUAACCGUCGACGGCCGCCAUGUGGCACUGAAUCCCCCGGGCAUAGACAUUGAUUAAAUGUAUUUAAAAUUAUUUGUAUAAAUAUUUUGAAUAUUUUGAUAUUAUUUGAUGUAAUAAAAUAGAAGUUCAUUUGAUGUAAUAAAAUAAAAAAAAUUUUGAGUUAUUUUGAUAUUAUUUGAUGUAAUAAAAUAGAAGUUUAUUUGAUGUAAUAAAAUAGAAAUUUUUGAAUAUUUUGAAAAUUUUAAUUAUGUUAUUUGAGAAUUCUACUAACCAUUAAUAACCUAAUUAAAUUGAAAACCCUAACCUAAUUAAAUUGAAAACCCUAACCCUAAUUAAAUUGAAAACUCUAACCUAAUUAAAUUGAAAACUCUACCUUAAUUAAAUUGAAAACCCUAAACCUAAUUAAAUUGAAAACCCUAACCCUAAUUAAAUUGAAAACCCUAACCUAAUUAAAUUGAAAGCCCUAAACCUAAUUAAAUUAAAAACCCUAACUCUAAUUAAAUUGAAAACCCUAAUCUAAUUAAAUUGAAAACCCUAACCCUAAUUAAAUUGAAAACCCUAACCUAAUUAAAUUGCUCUAACCCUUAACAUUCACAUAAUGUUAGAUUUGGAAAAAUGUUUUUUCCUGGUACUAACAAUUAAUAAUUUCAUAUAAUUUGAUAAUUUUACUAACCAUUAAUACAAUUUUUUGAGUUAUUAAUUUUACAUUCACAUAAUGUUAUAUUUGGAAAAAUGUUUUGACUGGUACUAACAAUUAAUAAUUUUAUAUAAUUUAAUAAUUUUACUAACCAUUAAUACAAUUUAUCAAUUACUAAUUUUACAAAUAUAAUUUUGUUACAAUUACAUUCAACUAUUGCGAUUAGGGCAUGAUCGACUUGUAUGGCCUGGAUUCCUACACCAUCCGCACAACUUCGUUUGACUGGCUGUUUCUCAGAUAUCCAUAUUGUUACGUAUUCUAGUUGAGUAAGGUCGACCCUUUGGUUUACGACGUAAUUCUCUAUCCGGUAACAGCUUAAAAGGAGCAAGAGAUACAGGCGGCCACUUACGUUCAUCUGGGACCGGUGGGAAAAUGUGUCUCCAUACGCUGUACAUGUUUUCUAAUUUGUACACUUCGUCCACAUACCUCAUCGGAUCCAGACGGAGAUCCUGACAAGCUGUAAUGACAUGAGCGCAUGGAUAACGAAGUGCAUCAAACAUCCCACAGUCACAAGUCCUGUUUCGUAAGUGUACACGAUAUUGCCCGCCAACAACACCUUCGUGUUGUCUGUCAAACUCUGUCACACGAAACCAUAAAUUUCCUCGAUCGUGACACACUGUGUACAUGGUGUUUGCCCUCGCCUUGGCCUUGUUAAUUUCUUGAACUACCUUACUGCACCAUACAUGGCCUCCCUGCAUCUGGCCUACAUAACUUGCUGCUCGCUUUGGAAAUAGCGCCGCCAAACGAAAAUAUGUCUCUCGCACAACCGAUGUUAUCGGUAGAUGGCGCGUUCCUUUAAGAACAGAAUUUAUUCAUUCAGCCAGGUUCGACGUCAUAUGGCCAUAUCGUAGGCCUUUGUCGUAUGCUUGUGCCCACUGUUCGAAACGUAUGUUACAAAGGUAGUCCUCCCCUUCUACGUUAAUUAAACGUAAAAUUACCAACAUCUCGUGAAAACGGUCUUUAUUUAUUUCAUACCCUGCCAAUAUAAGAUCAUAGCGAAUAAUUUAUACCACUUCUACCAAUAAAACUAAUUCAAAUUGACAAACAAAAUAACACAUAUAUAGAUUAAAUACUCAUGUUGGUCACUUGUCGUCGUUCGCUCUUAGAUGUAUAUUUCCUGUAGUAGUUCGAAGCAAUGUGUCUUAGGCAAUAUCUAUGGUGUGUGCGCUGCCAUAAGCUUCUCUGUCGAUCAAAUGUAGCUAGUAUACCGGUGCCCCGAUCUGAAAUAACACAGAUAUCAUGUUGGGGGCAUACAUGCCUCCUUAACCUAGACAGAAACAAAUUCCAGUCAUCAGACGACUCCCCUAGUGUUAUUGCAAAUGCAAUUGGAAGAAUUCUCCCACCGCCAUCCUAUGCCACUGCAAGCAAUAACCGAUGAGUAUACCUACUGAACAUAAAGGUACCGUCAAUUUGUACUAACGGCUUGCAGUAUGAAAAUGCGUCUCGGCAUUGCUUAAAGGUCCAAAAUCGGCGUUUGAACACUUUUUGUCCACGUAGCAAUCGGUCAUUGUAGUUCGCAUCUUCCGUUUCAAGGUCUGUGAUGGCACCUGGGACGUAUCUCUCUAGCACCUGACACCACUGCCAUAUUUCAUUAUAUGAGGCGUCCCACCCACUAUGCAUCUUCUCCAACGCCUUUUGCUUAACUAUCCAAGCCUUGCGGUAAGAGGGCGUGUACCCCAUUUGGCAACGGAUACUGGCAAUUAACACCGGCACUGAAGUCUUGGGAUCUACUUUUACCGUGGGCAGUAUCAAGCUAGCUAACAUAGCUAAAUCCAUCUUGGGAUGAUCUUGUAAAACACCUAUUAACGGAGUACAUUAAAUAAUGCAACAUUACAUAAUAAAAGUAUUCUUCAGAUACCGUCAAUACUGUACCUGCAGCACAUGUAUGUGGACCUUUGUACUUUUUUAUCUCCCACAACCCUGUCCUUUUCCUUAACGAGACGUAGAUUUUCCAUGAACAUGUGCCGUCUUGCACCACACACUUCGCCUCGAACUUAUCAGAUUUGGAUUUAACGACGUGGUAGUUAACGCCGUUUUUGAUGCUAUGUUGUUUCAAAGCACCAAUAAAACUAUCCUUGUUGGUAAACUGAUUACCAACUUCAAAUUCACCGGAAUCUACCCUCGAACUUGUACGACCACGCAACCGAUGUGGUAGAUCUGGAAACUCUAGCGCAUCAUCUGCAGACAGAUCGACAUUAUGCAAGUGGGUUGGAGGUGAGUAUGCUCUGAAUCGUGGAUUUUCUUCUUCGUCUGAACUCCUUUCACCAUCUUCAGAUUCUGUUGAAAUAGGCUCCGGUUCAGAAAAUAAGCCAACUUCUACACCAUCCGGCCCGGGCUCUCGAGGUGGAUCCACAUCGGAGUCAUCUUCUAACCCACAAUCAUCUACAUCGUACGAGGUCCCCUCACCGGUUGACGUCGUAGGGAGUAUGUCAUCCCUUCUUCUCAGCAUUUGAUAACGUCCCCAAUUGGAUGGAGAUUGCCACCCACUAGAACUUGAUGUCGUUCCCCGGUACGUAUUUCUAGCAUCAAACGUCGAGCCACCGACGUACAUGUCUCAUCCACUGACAGAGUGUCUUGCAGGGGAUGUGCAUUCGACAUUGCCACCGAACAUGGGCUAUUCCGUAUUUUAUAACCCGCUAAUCGAGUGUUGGCCAGGGGUCGUGUAUACAUCUCGAACACCGGUCGUAGGUACAUCAGUUGGCGAUGUAAAUUGUACAUAUAACUCAAUAUAAGGUGCUCUACUAGCAAGAUGAGUCUGCACCAUUGCCUCCAAGCUACGAGCACCUUUUAUGCCGAACGAGUCAUAUGUCAUCGGAUCAACAGAAGAACAAAAUCGAUACGUGAUUGACAGAAAUUUCAUUGGUGUCGUUCUGAAAAUUUUACGCCUAAUUCUUUUACGAAGUUCUGUCAAAUCUAUGUUUUGGUUAAAAAUCAGUCGCACCGUAUUCUCCGACAAAAAAAUAACACCAUUCUCGGUGUGGCAAACCUCACUAUCGUAGUAAAUAACAGCACUAAUACGUUCACUCAUAUUUGAAACUCUAACCUUCUUAGCCUCACUAUAUUGAGAGGAAAUUGAAAUUAAAUAUGGAUUUGAGAGAAUUUUGGAAGGAAAUUUAGAGGAAAUUUAGAGGAAAUUGAGAGGAAAUAUGAAAGAGGAUUAGUUUGUGAAAAAAUAAAAAGGGGUGUGGGGGUAUUUAUAGUUUUUUUGACCGUUGGGGGGCAACGGUCAAAUUUUUGACCGUUGGGGCACUGUUCACGCGCGGGGAAAUCGCGGCCACGUCAACGCGAGAUGCUGACGUGGCAGCAAAUCGCGUCCUUGAGGAAGCGAUUUGUUUCCAUGUCAACAUCUCGCGCUGAUGUGGCCACGAUUUCCUGACGCGUCCCCUGACAUCGCGCUGACGUGGACGCGAUUUGCCGGAAAAUGGACCAUUCCGAUAAAUAAUUAAAUAAUGGGCCCAUUUCAAUAAUUUUUGUAAAAAAUGGGCUUUUUUGUGUAAAUUGUCUGAUUUCUAAAGCUGCAGUUUUUGACAUUGAAUGAAACUCAAACAGAGAAAAAUACAUCUUACAGGAAAAGGAAAGAAAAAAUAGAUGAUGUACAACUAAGGAAAGAAACUGACAGAGGGUGGCCCUACAUCAUGAUAAGGAUGAUAGGCACCCAAACCGUAAGCUUUACUACAAAACGCCAAAAAUACAGGGAGUAAAAUCAAAACUCUUGACAAAAGGGAAUGGAAUUGGCAAUGGAAACACAAAACAGAAAGUAAAGUCAAAACUCUUGACAAAAGGGAUGAUGGAAUUGGCGAUGGAAACAUAAAAUAGAACAGCAACACCUUAAGUCCCCUGCAUCAUUCUCUCAACAUAAACCAAAGGAUUAAGUCUCCAUUAGAAUAAGUUUUAUUUGUUUAUGCUCGUUUAUUUAUUUUGAUAAAUCAACAUAAACAACAACCCAACUGUUCAUUUACAACCUUAGCUUUAAGCAAUUAAACGAUAAGUCGACUUUACAAGUAAACGAUUAGCCCUAGGCAACGAAAGGCCGAACUUCUCGGUCAUGUCGAGUUCAUUAGGCAACAUCCCACCAGGCAACUCCCAAUCAAAGCAAUGGGCUAAUUGAGCUAAAAUAAUACGCAUGUUGACUAGAGCUAACUGCAUUCCGGGACAUCCUCUACGACCGGUUCCGAACGGAAUGAGUUCAAAAUCAUGCCCUCGAAGGUCUAUCUUCCUAUCCUUGAAUCUUUCUGGAAAGAACUCUUCAGCAUUGCUCGACCAUAUCUUGGGGUUUUGCCCCAUGGACCAAGUGUUCACCAAAAGCCGCGACUUCUUAGGUAUGAAAUACCCAUUAACGGUGACAUCUUCGGUCGACUCGUGCGGGAUUAACAACGGCGCCACAGGAUGCAACCUGAAACUCUCUUUGAUGACCAUAUCCAAAUAGGCAAGUUUCGGUAGGUCCGACUCUUCUACCAUUCUAUUCCUUCCGACAACAAUUUCUAGCUCUUUCUGGAGAGCAACCAUGACUCGAGGAUGCUUUAGAAGUUCUGUAAAUGUCCACUCAAUGGUCGUGGAUGUAGUGUCGAAGGAAGCUGCCACCAUGUCCACCAUUAUAGCCUUGAUGUUUUCUCUACCAAAGAUGUAUGGUUGAUCUUCAUCGUUAGGGUUUAUGGGUGUAUCCAACAUCGAAACCAUCAGUUGAAAGAAACUUCUAUAAGGUUUUUGGUCAUCCAUGUUAAUCCCUUGUUGGUAUUCAUCUAUCAUUUUGUCAAAAAAUUCGUGAAGGCCACUGCUCGCCUUCUUAAGCCUUCUUGUAUAUCCCUGCAGCGUAAAGAUAGAUAUGAUAGAAUCAAUUUU
rnacentral:lncRNA from 1 species